rnacentral:lncRNA from 1 species
GGAUACCACAUAAAGCAAAAUCUUCAUACUCAUGUGGAUAGACAUGAAGGCAACCAAUUUUCUCUUCUUCCACAUAACAACAUUGAAGUUUCCUCCAACCAUCCAAGGUAGUGAUUGAUUGUAUCCUAUAGAAUAAAUAUCAUCCCACAACCUAAAUCUCUCAACUGUUGUACAUUUAGCAUAGACUAGAGUGACCAAGAAUGGAUUCCCAUUAUUGAAUGACAGAUGUAGUGUUAAUUGUUGUUCUGAAUCUGAAACUACUCCCACAUGAAUCCCAUCCCGAGUAAAUAGCCAAAUUUGACCAUUGGAGUUGUAGUUGACAUACUACAUGCACAUCCUUCUUUUGCAUUUUUGAAUCUUCUUAGUGUCUUGAAAUGGUUCCAUCAAGGAAAUUAGGAAAAAAUUGUGGUGUCUAUGUAACAUUUGAACUUUAUGAAAUGCAUUUUGAGUUCUCACAAUCCUUAUAUUCAAAAAUAAAGCUUUUGAUUCAUUGAGAAACACUCUUCUCCCCCUCUUAGCCUGUAUCCUUGUUGUCUUUGAGUCACUAGCCAUUUUACCUUUCUUUUUGUUCCCUCUGGUCAUUAUCUGAGAUAGCCAACUUCCUUACAAAUAUUGUUCUCCAGUUGCUCACUUUCUUCUUAUUCAACAUCUUCAAUACUUGCCUCAUUAAAAUAUUCCCUGGUUAUGCUCCCUUGAAUGGAUGUCUUACCAUUUUCUUGUAAAAUUUGGUGUGAAAUAAUUGCAUGUAAAGCUUCAUUAGGUGCAAAUCUUCUAUUGCCCAUUGUGAUAGCCUGAACCUUAGCUAGAGCACUUGUUUUUUGCAGGUUGCUCUCCUUCUCAUUUGACUUCACCCAUACCUAUUUGAAGUAUAUUUGUAGGAGGAGAUCUCCUUCCACUGGAACCACUUUUUGGAGGGGCUCUUGAUAGGUAGCGUAUCUCAAAUCUGGUUCAUGUUGUUGGUAUGCCACAAUCUCUUUUCUAUGUGUUCUCAUCGUCUGUAUGCACCUCUUCUUUUUUCUUUACACUUUCACUAGAUUGAUUAUUUCUUACUUAUGUUGCAGAUGUGUCUCCUUGCCUGUUGACAGUAGCCUCAUCUUCUAUUGUGUUCUCUUCAGUAAUUGAUGUAUUCUCACUUUGUUUGUUCCUUUUAUUACCAAUGUCCCCAUCUUUUUUACUAUCCCCUUGUUGCAUCGAUGUAGUAUUACUUGUUCAACAUUCAUUUCCUGCUGAUUAGUAAAAGCUCUCGAUCAAGUCUGUAUUGGAUUCAUUACUUUUUUGUUGAUCAUCUGCAUUAUUUGUCUAAAGAACUUGAUUCUCUUUCUCAAUAUGUUGUUUGUCCAUUUUCUGGUUAUCUCCCUCCCUUGAUUCAAUCUGGUGUUCCUCAUCAAUAUCUGUUAAAGCAACAAAGGCAUUCCCACCGUAAGUUUUGCUGGAAGUACUAGCCUUGUCACUUAUGCCAACACCUUUGUUCAUUGUAAAAGCUCUAUUUGUAGGUUCCAGUAUCUUCUGACGAUUCUUCUCCUCCCUUUUCUUAUGUCCUCUUAUUUAUUCUUGUUCUUCAUGUAGUAUUUCAUUACCCUUUGACUGCCCCUUUUCCUCACCAUUAUCGAUCCUUAGCUCUGGAUGUAAGUUUCCACAUUCCUCCUCAUCAUGUCCUUGAACCUUAUAAUGUUUAUAAUAUUUAGACAACAGUUCUUACCGAAUCUUCACUUGCUCUAUCCUUGACACCUUAGUAUCUUCAUUCAUAAUCUCAUUUUCAACAAACUUUGGGAAAUUCGACAUAAGAUGUACCAGAAUUUUAACUCGUGCAGAACUUGAUUUUGUUUUAUUUAUUGUGGCCAUAUCUAAAUAUAAUGGCUUUCCAACUGCUGUUGCCAAAGAUAAUAGAGAUUCCUUCACAAAAAGGUGGGUUUGAGAUCCGGAAAGGAUAUCCAAGUCAAAGCCUGCAUAGUUUCUUCUGCAACCAGAAAUUUUUCAUCAUAAAUAAGAGGCUUUGGGGAAUAUAAAUAUUCGUCCUUAGCCAAUAUGUAUUAUAUUGGACAUUACAUUAAUGAAGUUUUCUUCCUGAUCAAGUCUGAUGAGGACAUGUCUAUUGCAUAAUAGACCUAUCUUACAAUCUCAUUUGAUGUUGCAUUGUUUUUGAAUAAGCAUCCUAAGUUCCUCCAGCUCCGGCCAAUCAUAUGAAAAUUUUCUAACUAUUGCGUCUUGGAGAUUCUCAAUGAUGUUCGUUCUCUUCACUUUACUCUUCGUCCAUAUCAAUCAAGGAAUUUCAUUUGUAUAAGUGAUUGUCUUUAUAGGAAUUGGUUCUACUUUUUUUGUCGAACAGCUGAACGGUUCCCUAAGAACAUUGACAUAAUUCACUUGGAACAUAUUACUGUUAUUGCCAGGCAAAACAAUAGCAGUAGGCUCAAUAGGCAAAUUAGGGUUCACAAUAUCAGUCUUAGUGCUUGUCGAUAGUGGUGGAAUAUGAAGCUUCUUGUAGCAGCAACGACUGGUCAACCCCAAGACUAGGCUGACUAGUGGCCGGAAUAGCCAUUGUAUUGAUUUAAGGUCGAAAAAAGUCACUGGCGACGGUAAGGAGUAUAGACAGUGUUUUUUCAUAAUCAUUGUAAAUGCAAUGUAUCAUUUCCGUUUCUAAAAAAAAAUUGCUACAACCUCUACUUGUUGAGGCAUAAACUUAUUAUUUUGUAUUGGAUACACAAUAGUUAUUAUUUAUUUUUUUUAAAAUUAGUUUAAAAUAAAAAUUGUAUUUCAACAAAAUUUAAUAAAAUAACUAAAAUUGAUGUCUUGUUGUUUUUUUAAAAUAAUCUAAAACAAAAGAAUAUUUCAAAAAAAAUUAAUAAAAUAAUUAAAACGGGUAUCUUAUUAUUUUUUUAAAUUAGUUAAAAAGAAAAAUUAUGUUUCAACAAAAUUUAAUAAAAUAAUAAAAUGAGCAUCUUAUUAUUUUCUAAAAAAUUAGUUUAAAACAAAAAUUGUAUUUGAAUAAUAUUUAUUGAAAAAUUAUUAAAAUUGGUGGAGUGACUUUCUAAAUGAAAUAUUAAUAGUUGUGACUUUAUAGAGAAAAUAUUCAUAGUUGAGUGACUAUGAGAUUAUAAGUGAAAGUUGAGUGACUUUCAGGGAAAAGAAUCAUUAUUUGAGUGAUUUUCUACGAGAAAAAUUCUUAGUUGAAUAACUUUGAAGUUAUAAAAGAAAGCUCAAUGACUUUCUGUGAAAAGAAUUAUUAGUUGAGUGACCAUAUGAGGUAUUAACUCCAAAAUACUGCAUACAUCGUCAACAAUACAUGGUCAGAUUUACAUCCCGGAGAUUAAUUGGACCUUAAUGUUACUAUGCCUGGAUGUUACUAUUGGUUUUCGAGACACCAAACGGAUGGGAAAUGUUGCAGGUAUGGAUAUGAGCUUAUUUUAAAAUGUCUAUGUUGAUUCAACUUCAUUACUGACCCUCAUCCCAAAAUUUUCUCUUUGCAUCAGGUUUGAGAAUCAUAACUGUCAUACUGGUUACCACACUUUCUUGAUUUCAUUGGUAAUUGUUUUAUGUUGACACCAAAGUGUUUUCCUUGCAAUUUUCUUUGUGAGCUUCUUUGGGUCAGUUGAGGCUUUAUAUUUCUCCACUUCUUUGAUUAAAUUUUUGGAAGGAGCUUGGGAAACAACAGCCAUGGCAAUAAGGUCUCUGUUGACAGGCUACUUCAUCAGCUAGGCCCUAGUCUAGACAUAGUAAGGGUCCGCGACAGAGGCAGACUCACCCCUCUAGCUGGGGUGCAUGUGCACCCAUUAAAUUCGAAAAAAAUCAUGUAUAUAUAUGUAUAUCUAUCUUGAGAAACUGACAGAAAUUAGAAUAUAAUUAAUAGUGCACCCAUAAAAAGCAUAGAAGUGACAUUGUGCUACUGAUACAAGCUAGAGGAUCCACCUAUGAGACCUGGGUUCAAAUCCAACUAAAGUGUUUAUUUCACUGUUUUUGUUUUAAGUUUAUCUUAGAGUUCAUAUUUGAGCUAAGAUAAUAUGGGUGCACCCAAAGUUUUCAAAUCCUGAAUAAUAUACAUGCAAUUGCUUAUCUAUAUUACCUUAAAAGUAUGAACUCCUAACUUUAAUGUUAAAUUACUAUAAUAUCUCUAACUUAGGUAAUGACUUUUUUGAUGAGUUGUGACUUUUUCGAUAAGUUUUGACUUUUUUCAAAGGGUUGUGAUUUUUCGAUGAGUUGUGACUUUUCCCAAGAUUUGUAACGUUUUCAAUAAGUUGUGACUUUUUCAAAGGGUUGUGACUUCCUGAAAAGGUCAUGACUUUUUCAGAUAAGACACAAAAAAAUAUGUGUUCAUACUACCCUUUGUUGACUAUAAAUAGAGGGGCUUCCUCUCAUUUUUCAACCACAAUAUUUUUAAUCUUCUACUCUUCUUCUUCUUGCAUUUUGAAAUUUCUUAUGUGAUUUAUUGUCGUUGAGUGAGUUCGAAGUUUAGCGGAUAUGAGGUACCAAUGUUUUGAUGAAGUAAGUCGUUCUAUCCUAAGAGAGUAUAUACCAUAACCUCGAGUACUUGAGGAAAAUAAUUUUGAUGAUAUAAUAAUUAUUUUUUGCUUCAUAUAUACAUUAGUAUGUAAUGUUCCAAUAUAUGAUGUUAACAUGAUGUAGUCUAAAUUCUUUUUUUUCCAACAAUUUCUCUUGUGAUGUAGACAUAUGUUUCUAAAUAUCUUUUCCAAAAUUUAGAAAAUUGUCACGAUUUAUUUUUGAUGCUCAAGACAAAAGAACGACUUUAUUUAUCAAUGCUACUUAUGUGAUUUAAACUCUCAUGGAGUUUGAUUCAAAAUAGUAAGCCCUUUUGUUUUACUUAUUUACUAUUUCUUAAUAUUUUGGUAUUUUAGACGAAGAAAAGUUCAUAUGACUUGUAAUAACACCAGUUGAAGUUUGUAUUAGUUUAAUUUUUAUUAUUGAUUUAAUAGUUAAUUUAUGAGAUAAAUAUUUUUAUUAAUGCAAAUAUAUAUUUAUAUUUGGGUAGAUAUUUGUACUUAAACUAAAGUAUUAUAUAUGUCACAAAUGUAUUAUCAAGUUAACAAAAUCUUCUAACUUCAAAAUAUAUUAUUUUAAAAUGUUCCGCAUUUUUUUUAAUCAAAAACUCAGAACCAAUGUGAAAAUAUGUGAAUAUAUAAAAUGUAGUUGUUCUCUUCACAUGUCCAUAUGACAUCUAAAGAAUUUAACAUGGAAUACACAUGCAAAGCAAAUCUGGUUACAUGACAAGAAAAAUACAAAGCAAAUAUUGUCUAUAAGGUAAUAUUAGUGAGAUAAGACUAAUUAGAUGAUUUACCUCAUCAAAUUGAAAUAAAUGUAUACAUUAUUGCAUUUAACUAAUAAAUUUUUUCUUUGACCAUCUUCACAGGUCAGCGUGAAUAAGAAAUAUAUAUGACGAUCCACGUUAAACAUUCACAAAAGAAUCUUCAAUAUUAUUUUUUGCUAAGCUUAUUAUUCAAAUCUUCGCUUAAAUAAGCAAAUACUAUUUACUAUGUCAUAUAUUUUUGGAAUUGGUAAUCACGUGCAACGCACGUGUCAAAAAACUAGUUUGUAUAUAUGCAUCAAUUGCCUAUAUACAAAAAGUUGUCAAUUGCCUUUAUACGAAUAGUUAUCUACCAUUUAUCAAUUGUAUAUCUUAUACGAUUGAAUCUGUUAAUGAUAUUUACAUACAUUUUAAUUUGAAUAUCAGAUGAUAUAUGUGAUUGUACUUUUUAGAAAUAAUAUACAAUUGUUUAUUUGUAUAUAUGCAUCAGUUGCAUAUACACUAAUAGUUCUCUAGCAUUUAUCGUUUGUAUAUUUUUAUACAUAUAAGAUUCCGUACUUUUUUCUUUAUUCUUGCAUAAUAUAUGUGGCGUAGUAUGGCAUGGUUAUAUGAGGUGUAUAUGACUUGGUAUCAUACAUUGGAGAUUAAGAUUGCAAAUGGUUGGCAAUAUAAAGGAACUAAACUAAAGUUUUAGGUCAAAGGGACCCCUCAAACAAAAGUUCAGGAUUAAAAGAAAUGGCUCGGGUAGAACUUCGCCCGUUUGAAAGGUUUAAAUUAUCUCAUACCUUGGGGAUAAGCCUAUGAGUGUCUAACAUGCUAAGAAUAAUGUGUUAUGAGGUAUUAUAAUAGCAUAAGGGUCGUAUGUUAAGUUUUUAAGUCAAGAAAAUUAACGCAACUAAGGUCGGCACAACUUAUCGAAGUUUCUCUAAUAACAUUUUCUUAACUUUGGGUCAAAUGUCUUUGAUGUUUUCUCCCAAUAUAUAGAGAGUUAGAAGGCCCAUGACCUAUCCAAUCGAAGGUCUACGAGUCUAGGUUGCAACGCACAACACCCCAUAUCCAACCGAUAUUGGAGUAAAACAUUAUUAGGGUUUGACUGCGGAUUGCUGGGGCAGAAUCCAGGUCGGGUCAAAAAUAUGGUAUGUCGGCUUACUCGACAUUUUAAGCCAUGAAAACAUUUCGUUUUACUCCCUAACCAGAAAGAAAGAUGAAGAGAGUGUUCUAUGGAGUUCUUGCAUGAUGAAGGCUUGUUUUUUAUGAUUUCUACCAUUAAAGGUUGUCCCGGUGCCUAGAAACAUGAUCUCUACACGUGGCAAUCGUUCUCCCUUCUAUUAGCUGCAUUUGGAGUUAGUUUUUGAAGAUAUAAAUUGGUAGUUAUUGGUUUUUCUUCAAGUUUUACACUUGGUUUGCUAAGGUAAUCAUCUCGGUACUCUUUUAUAAUUGUUUUUAUGAAGUUCUAUAGGCAUUUCGUCAAGUUGGGACCAUAUGACAAAUCUGCCAAUUUAAGCUCAAAUAUGAAUUGUUUAUAGGUGCGUACCAGCUGUGUAUAUAUAGUGUUUGUGAAGCUUAGGACGUAAGGAACAAAUUUCAUGAAGAAACUACGGGCAUUCGAGCGUUCAUUGGAAUGGUAUGUUAAGGCUAACCUUUGUCCUUCAUUUUAGCACCACUCCUGGGAAAUUCCUAAAACGCCGAAUGUGAUAUUUUUCUAUUCUCUUGCUAGAAAGACCUUCUGUGAAAGGCAUUGAGAUCUCAGCAGAAUUAUUUUCAUGAUUCUAUUAUUUUGAUAUUCCACUCGUUCGGAUAAAUAGAGUAUUUGACAUGUACAUGUCAUUUUAUCGGUUUCCUUGAUUGUAUGUACGCAUGUAUGAAUUCCUAUUCUUCUUUUUAAAAUAUUACGGGAGACCCUUAUUAUUUGUAACCAGCCCUUUUUCCCCACUAAAGUUAUUAUGAAAAAUCUUUAAAGUAACUCACGAUCUUCAAAACUCCCAAAUAUAACUUAAAUGUUUAAACUAAUAGAAUACUUGAUUUUUGAAAUACUUCUUUUAUAAAUUAUCUAGGAACAAAGUAUAGGAACUAAGUAAAUCACCUUAAACUUAUUAUGAAUAUCUGCAAGGUUAAGUUAUCUUUCUAAAAUUCGAGUGAAGUUUUCAAGCUUAUUUGGAAGAACAUAUGAGGUUCCAUGAGAUGGUUACAUGUCAUAGGAAAGUGAUUACGGGGUUAUGAGAACACGACUACAAAUGGGCAAAGAUUGGCAACAUGACAACGAUAACAUAUAUGUGAUAAAUCUACAACAUGACAUGCUAUGCAUUCUACUCCCGAGCUAGAAUUGGGAGAUAUGGGGCCUAUUGCCUAUAUUUAUACAUAUGAGACACCGAUGGCCACAGGUUGGCGAAUAUGAUGUCGGUUAGCUACCGGGAAGCACCACCAUUGCAACCAUUUGGUUGGGUAUGUCAUGCAUUUGCAACUAUACAUAUGUAUUCACGACAUAUGAUUAUACGAGCAUACCGUGCAUAUUUAAAUAGUAAGAGGCUAAAUGUCAGCCAUAGAGAUUAUUUGAUUUUCAGUUUUAGGUGGUAUCUUUGUUACCCUUUUACAGUAAAUAUCUAUGAUUUUACUUUCCAUUUUACAUAUCAGUACAUUUAUAUUCGUACUGACAUCCCAUUGCCUGGGACGCUGCUUUUUGUUUCGUGCGAGCAAGUUCAGUCAAGGAUUCUGAUCGACCCACCCACUAGGAUUCGGGUUCAGCUAUGAGUUAGUAAGCUCUGUCUUAUCCUGGGCUAUCAUAGGAUGGUUACUUUUGUUGUACAGUUUAGGUAUAGUCGGGGCCUUUCCCGACAGUGCUUAUGUCACUCAUAGAGGCUAUUGUGGACAUAAUAUUGUGGGUUUUCUUUUGUAGGUUUCAAUCUCCAGCCCAUUGACUUGGCAUGUAUAUAUACGUGUGUGUAAGUAGGUAUGUAUUCAGUUGUGGCCUCAUCGUCUAGCUAUAAAUCUUAAUUUUUGGCUUGUCUACCAUUGUUUGUAUGGUUUAUUCUCAUUCAGGUCAUGACCUUCAGGGUCCAGACUUCACUUUUCAGAAGUUGUGCUGCCCAAUCAUUUUGUCUCAUAGUUUGGUUAGUUAGUAUGUUUUAGUGGGUAACUCGAUUGAAAAGUCAUUUUUGGUAAGAAAUUGUAAGGAAACACACUUAGCAUGAAUCGUGGGAUAUUUUCCUUUUUUAAAUUGAUUUGUUGCUUCUAUUAAGGGAUUAAUUUGUCAUACCCCGAGCCUACACCCUGAACGUGGCCAACACUAUAGAACUAUUUCUGAUUCCUAAGCAAACUGUUGGCUUGGCUAAAUACUUAGCGGAAGACUCACUCAAGCAAUAAUAGUCUUAAAAUAGAAGUCAAUCUCAAAGUAGAAAGUACUCAUUGUUAUAAUUAAGACUAUUUGCAAAACAUCACAAAAUAAAAUGAAAAUAUUAAGAGACUCCUCAACUCUAACUAUCUAUAAAGCCUCUCAUACUAGGAUAGAUGUCGGGACAAGACCUACGACAACUCAACAAUAACAAAAAAUAAAUGUGAAAUUCUCUGGAAAGCAAGGAGGCUCACCAAAGCUAUUUGAAGCGCAAUGUGAUCUCAACGGCAUGCCUAUUGGUGAUCUUGAAAACCUAUAUCUGCAUCAUAAAAGAUACAGGUCGAAUUAUAUGUGUACAUUUGAAUGUACGAUUAUUUAAUAUAGCCGAGGCGAAAUAACUGAAAGAAAGAACUACAAUAGGUAUAACAUAAACUCAACCGAAUGCAAAGAAUUAAAGGAAUGAAACCAUUUCACUUUACAAUAUACUUUCUCAUUCUCUUAUCUUUAACAUCAUAAGUGAUAUAUAAAAAUACACUUUAACUCUAUUAGGAGAUUCUCUAACUGACAACCAUCACUAAGAGCUAAGUGAUGAUACAACGUCUUAUCUAUGCUGCCAGAAUUGUCUUAUAUCGUGCCGGAAUAUAGAACACCUCAACUAAAUGGAUCCACUAAGAUCUGCCCGAAGGCACUAAGGAUUCAUCUAAAAAAUAUGAUAUUGUACCCAUGUUGGCAAAACAUGGUUUAUGAGGGAUGUGAGUUGUACAAACUUUCCCCCCAUAUCGGUGCUCAAUACUGCUCCCAAUAAUAUAUACUAUUUCUCAAAUGUAUAAAAAUGUUACUCUUUCUCUGUUUUGAGAUAAUUGCUCAAAUUAUCCUCUUAAAAGAGGUAACUACUCUGAACUGUCUUUGAAACACAUUUCUCAUUUAGAAAACAAGAUUUCUAUUUGCUUAAUGUAAAAAUACAUUCUGAAUUGAGUUAAUUACUCAAAAGGGGCCUCUUUAAGAGGUAAGUACUUAAUUUUUCUGAAAACUCUUUUAACUUUUCUCAAAAAAAGUCUACUCUUUUGUUUCAUGUAAAAAUGAAACAUUUGGGAAAAUACUUAGUUCCCUUAUACUCUCUCUCUCAAACUUAGUUUAAACAAUGAUGUUUUGGUUAAAGGAUUCUCAAUAAGAAUUCACUGAAUACUCAACAUAGGGUUCAUACUGAAAAAUAGUCAUGAACAAUCAACUCAAUAAUCACAAUUCACGUUGUAUGACAAUUCAAUAAUUAGGAAUAGGAAUUCAAAACUCAAUAUCAACUCAUUUCAAGAAUACUUAAAACUAAGGAUAGAACCCUAGAUUACUCUUUUACUGACUUAAAAGUAGAUGUAGGGCAUGAGGACGAACUAGUUCAACACUAAGAUAGCCUUAGAUACAUGGAAGAACAAGCUCUUUCGGAAUCGAAGAAACUUGACAAAACGCUUGAACCCUAGCUUUUCUCCCCUUGGAACCUUGAUCUAAUGUCUUGAAGUGUUAGUGAAUGUAAAAGAGCUUAUUAACACUUUUCAAGCCCUUAAUUAAGUCUAAAACAUCGUGAUUUAGGCUUAGAAUAGGGGUUAAAAUGAAGUAGUUUAAGUACCAAACACAUAGGGGAAAGACCAAAACUACCUCAACUUUUAAAACUAAAAACGUGCCUCAAACGGGAGGUUUCACGAACCAUAUGAAGCUUCACGGUCCGUGAAAAUCUUCAUGGUCCGUCUAGUGGGUCGUCAAGUUGCACCUACCCAAUAGGGCUUCACUAAAACGGGCAUCAUAACAUCUUGACAUGAGGCAAACUUGGUGGAGUUGGAAAGAAGACUCAAAGACCUUCAAUUUGAUAGGUCAUGGGCCACCUAAUUCAUUUUGUGCUGAGAGAUAUGAUUCUUUGAAGUUGACCCAAAACUCAAAAACUUAUGGGUGACUUGUACGACACCUAAACCGACCGUGCAAGUCACCACAGGCUAUCUAGGUGAUCGUAACCUUGGCAGCCUUAGACAGUCCUUGACUCUUCUAAUUCGACUCUUUUAAUGUUUUUCUUUUUUCCUUCUCAUUCGACUCUUCUAAAUAUUUUUGGUGGGAGUAAUGACUAUUUUCGGCAAGCUAAAUUUGAAGAAUAUGAAAUAAAACCUACUAUAAAUAAAAGUAAUAUCCUAAGCUACAAAAUAUAUGUCUAUUAACAUAGAUUUGUUGGCCUUCAUGUCCCAAGUCAUUGCUGAGCAUUUGAGUUAUCUAGGUUAGACCCAUUUUUUUAUUUUUUUUCAUGUACGAAAUAUUUCUUUAACAUGAGUCUAGAAUCCAACAUUUGAUCUACUUGUACUUUCAUAAUUCAACAUUUAUACGUACAUAUUUCUGAAAAAAGUCGUAAAGUUUCAUUGAUGAAGCAUUUAGAAAGGCAUUCAGAGCAACAGUUUGAUGAAGAAUGAAUUUCUAAAAGGGUCAACAAUUUAUUUUGUUGUUGUUUCAAAUUUAUUUUUCUCCUUCUAUAAAUUUUGUUAGAGUAACAAAGUAACAAUAACGAAAAGUGAUGAACGUUGGACCUCAGACAAGUAGAUUGUCUCUAAAACUUCAUCGCUACAUAAAAACAUCACUCAAUUUUAACAAGACAAUUAUAUUAGCAAACAUAUAUUAUGAUAAAUUAUGUAAAAGAUAAAAAUGAUUAGAUAUCAAGAUAUUUUUAAUCAUUCAUUUAAUAUUUACAAUUCUUGAAAUAUGUGAUAAUGUCAAAUCAUUUAAUUUCUGUUGAAAUGUUCUUAAAACCUACUAAAAUUCACUUUUUUUCUUUCUUAUAAUAGUCAAUUUUUGAAAAGGUUGUUCAAAAGCUUAGAAAGAUUAUUUAUGCCCACGCGAAGCGCGGGUAAAUUACCUAGUUUCCUUAAAUUUUAAUACAUUUUUAUUGUGGAAUAAGAUUUCUUUAUAUUUUAAUACAUUUUUCUUAAAUUUUAAUACAUUUUCCUUUUGAAAUAAGGUUUUAAUUGAAAAAAAAAAUCCUUAAAUUUUUUAAUAUUAUUUCCUUGUGGAAUAAGAUUUUCUUAUAUUUUAAUACAUUUUUCCUUUGUGGAAUAAGAUUUCUUAAAUUUUAAUACAUUUUCCUUUUGGAAUAAUGCUUUCUUUCUCUAUAAAUAGGAGACCCAUUUACCCAAAUUAUAUCAUAAUAUUAUUAAAAAUAAAAUCUCUAUAAAUCAUCGUUUUUUUAAAAAAAAAUUAUUAUUCAAAGUUUGGACCCCCUUCAAAAAAUUUAUGGCUACGCCAAUGCAUAAGCAUAGUUAAAUGCUUGCACAGGGACCUCAUCGAGAAAACAAACACAUGAGGAAUUGAAGCGUUAGCAUGUGGUGACUUUAUGAAUGCACAACUUAGUUACAUAUUAUCAUAAUGUAAAAGUUGGACAGUGACCGAUUCUAACCAUCAACUUAGCUAAUUUUGAACAACAAUCCACAAUAUAACAACAAGCUUUGGAAAAAAAAAAGAUAGAGCAAAACAAAACAGAACUUAGAGCAAGAUUAAACUAUAUGAAACCCAACGAAUUAGCGACUAACAUCUAAACCAAAGCUUCAAACAUGACAUACUGAACAAUAGGACAAAAACACAAAAUUUGAAAAACUGGAGAAGACGAACUGCUACAUCAACAAACAAUAGAUAAUACGAACAACUAUUUCAUCAGCGAGAAGAGUAACACUUAGCCAUAUUAAAAUGUUAAAACCAUAGGGAAAUCAGAAAAUAAACAGAGGCAACAUGAUCACAAAAAUUGAAAAUUUUGAAACAACAAUAUCACAAGAUGAAGAAGAACUCAGCAAAGGGAAAGGGAUAUUACCUUUAUUUGGGCAGGAACUGGUACAACGAUCUUGAAGGUGACUAACUCACACCACCAAUCGAGAUGAGCUCCGGUGAAUUGCUUGGAAAUAACAGAAAAAAGGUCAUUUUCCUCUACAAAAUCUUAAGCCUCAAAUGCUAUUUUAGCUAUCCAACCCUUCUUUUCAAAAAUCCCCCUGAUAAGUCUUAAUGCUCCCAGAUGUUUUGAUGAUCUCCUCACAAGUGCAAGGACCUGGUCCUCUGUAGAGUAUGCUCGUCCAGGGUCAUAUGUUGUACAGAUGGAAAGAUGUUUGCGUCAAAAAGUUGGUGAAGUCGCCAGUGUACUACACCAACCAGAAUUGACGAGGUCGUUUGUCCAAAGGGUAUUAACUCUUGAUGUUUGAUAUAUUCAAGACAAAAACAACCAACAACUCAUUCAUUCAAAGAGAGAUAUUCAAGCUUCAAAAUAGCAGGGACCUGAUAGAUUGCAUUAUUGUUUCAUGUACCAACUGUUGCUUUUGACUGCUUGUAAUUGUGUGUAUAUUGUAGGAAUCGUUUCGCUUGUGAUGAAAACGUUUCAAUCUUGGGUGAAUCAUUGUAAGAACUUAGUUAUGGGUAACUUAGUGUCUUACGUCAAAGUCUAUAUUAAUCAGUUAGGUUAGUAUAGUGGGCAGUGUUGUAUCUGGUUAGGCUCGUUUAAGUAAUAAGUGGUAUUACUUAGUGUGGAGAUUACCAGGUUAAUCCUAUGUUGUAAAUUGUGUUUUACUUUUUCUUGUGAAUUUUAGUAAAAGCAGUUUGAAAAUCCCUGUGAGACAGGUCGUGGUUUUACUCCCUUGAACAAGGAGGUUUCCACGUAAAGUUAUGUGUGCAAUCUUUACUUUCAGCAUUUAUUUACUUUCUGUUAUUGUAAUCAUGUUGAGGACCUGGUCCUGUCGUAACUAGUGGACGCAUACAUUCCAAUAAGUGGUAUCAGAGAUUGACUGUUCGAUUUGGGUAAUACCAAGAAAAGAAAAGAUCCUGAAGGAAUGGCUGCUCCACGCAAUAUUGAAGAAGGUCAGUCAUCUACCAGACCACCCCGCUUCAAUGGACAAUACUAUUGCCGCGCCCCAUUUUUCUCAAAACGGACUUUUGACCUAACAACUCUUUUGGGCUUUUGGGUAGAUUGAAGAGUCGUCACCUAACGAAUUAAGGCGCGUUAGGGAACCUAUCUAACCUAGCUAAAUCUAACUACGGUCAAUGAACCAGAGAUCAGGGUAAGGGUUCAAAUUACCUCGAGGGAAAUGUGUUAGGCAUCCCUCGAGGUCCACAAAUGUGGGUCCCAGCAGUAUCUCAUGCAAUUUAUGUGGGGGUUACAAGUAGCAAUUAAGGUCACUUCAUUUAUUUAGGCUAUUUAAAUUAAACGUGCUUACUAAGUGAUAACAUAAUAUUUAACAAUUAAAAUUACUUCAUUUAAUUAAUUAAACAUGCAAAAACUAGGUGAUAACAUAAUAUUUAACAAUUAAGAUUACUUCAUUUAAUUAAUUAAACAUGCAAAAACUAGGUGAUAACAUAAUAUUUAACAAUUAAGAUUACUUCAUUUAAUUAAUUAAACAUGCAAAAACUAGGUGAUAACAUAAUAUUUAACAAUUAAGAUUAUUUUAGUUAUUUAAUUAAUUAGUUAAUCAUGCAAAACUAAGUACUAAUAUAAUAACAAAUAAAUAUUAAACAACUAAUAAAGAGAUAAGCGAGGACACAGAAAUUACACAAGUAAAUAAGCAAACAAUUUUUUAUAUUUUAUUUAAGCUACCCCAAACAAUUAUAAUUAUAAACAAAUAAAGGGACAAAAGGAAAGGGAGACUCUGAAGGACUUUACGGAUCAGCGCUCGGCUUUAAUUUUGAGACAGACAAAACAAAUGUUUGUCGUUUACGGCUUGAGGCAAUGUCAUCAUCUCCGUAGGGCCUAGACUACCCCUACCCCAGCACCACAUGCUUUUCGUCUUUAAAAGGUGCCUAGCGUCCCCGCUUAAGGUCCAAGAGGCAUUGGACUACUAUUAGGGGGUUUUAGACUUAAAUAAAAUAAAGGUUCCUAAUAGGCCCACCUAGACACCAAGUCAAACAAUUUGGACAAGCAUUUAGCACAUAGAGUCUCAUAUUGACCUCUAGAUUUUAUUUAGCAUGCUAGCAAACACACAUAAGGUGAAAGGUCUCAUACUAAGGUGUGUGAAUAUAUAAACAAGUAUUGCAGCAGUAAAAUUACUUAAUUAAGAGUGGCAAAAAUUAUUACAGAAUGCAGAUUUAAUUGAUUUUAAAAUAUAACAGAAAAGUGAUCAACAUAUGAAAAAUCAUUUUAGAACAGUAGCAGAUUUUAUUUAAUUAUUGGCACAGAUCGGUCAAGAAUAAAGGCAUAUAUUUUUAAAAACAGGGGCAGAUUCAAUUGGUAAUUAUUCUCCACAUGGACAAAUUAAAGAUGUGCAUAGAAAUAUUUAUUUUACUUGGCAGGACAAUGUUCAAAAAUGCAGAAGAUAAUUAGAUCAGGCAGAUUUUAUUUCAGAUUUAAGAUCAGACGAUUUACUAUGCUGGUUUCUCUUUAAUAUGCAGAAAACAGUCAUACAAAUUGAUUUUAUUUAGUUAUGACAUGCUUGGAAUAGUUGGUUAAUUUUAUCUCAAGUGGCACAACAUGAAUGUAGUGCAGAAAUGAUUUAACAAUGAGCAAAACAUAUUUGCAGAUUCAUCUUAUUUUUUUAAACAUGUUGGACAUUAUUUAAUAGCUCCUAUGAACAUGAUUUCUAAGUGAUUAAUAUACUGACAAAUAUAAACUAAAUAAUUAACAUGCUGCAAUUUAUUAGAUCAAAUUAGCAUAUCAAUCUAAUUAAUUGAGUCCUAUAGGCAUGAUCUUCUAAGUAAUGGCACAAAAUCUACAACAUGUAGGCAUGCUUUCUAUACCAAAAUAACAUAUUAAAAAUUAUUUAACCCCUAUAGGCAUGAUAUCUAAAAUGGCAGAACAUUCCAAUACAAAAAACAAAUUCAUGCUGGAAGUAGUUAGUUACAUUAUUUUAAGUGGCAAAGAUAUAUUACAGAUUCAGAAAAUACUAACAGUUAGCAUAAACCAAUCGUAUCAGGGUUGUUUCAGUUAUUUAGAAUGCUGGAAAUAACAAGCUGAUUUGAUCAAUCUAAUUAACAAGGUCUUAUUAGUGGAAUCCUAUAGGCGGGGCUUCUAAAUAUGCAAAUGUUGAAGUUGUGAUUGAUCCUAUAGGCAUGAUUUCUAUAUAGAGAUAUACUAAUUGUUUAAACAAACAUAUAGGCAUGCUUUUCUAAAUGGGCUAAUGCCGAAAUUAAUUAGUAAAGCUGACAUUAACAAUUAUGACAAGAUCCAUACUAAAAAAAAGUCAAGCUUACUCUUUUAAAUUCAUUAGCAUGCUGAAAAAGUUAUUAAACCUAUAAAAGUUAAGAUCUAGGUUAUUAACAUUUACUAAAGUUAGCCAACUCUUAUUGAUUCAAGCUACUUGAUUAAUAUACUAACAAGACAAACAAAUUGUUGAUUUUAAGUAGAUUAUUUACACGAUUCCGACAUGUUGCCUAUUCUAAUGAUUUUAGUAAUAGACAGAUUAUCUAUAACAAUCACACAUAACAAAAUAAACAAAGAAAACAGUUGGCACAUAUAUCCCCCUCCCCUUAGACGAUCCCCAAAUACAUUUUAUAUAUAGAGAGUUAGAGAGUUACUAUAAGAUUAUUAUAGAACCAAAAUAGAAAAUAAUACAAAUAUUAUGAAUAAACUUAUAUCUUGUCCAAUGACCCAUCCUAGGCGACUCUUCAAACUUGAACCCAAGUCUGAACCUGCUAAAGUGAGAUGCAGACAAAUACAACAAUAAAGAGCAAUAUACUAUAAUGAAGCGAGCAUACUAAUUAUGGGAAAAUUCAUCAUAUGCGCAUAUUUAUUUCAUACAUCUGGUUAAAAUAAACAGACAAGCACUUAGAGAAGUAAACAAUCAAUAAAUAUAAUAUCACACAAAGUGAGGGAAGAACGAAAACUGACUUGCAUGUCUCCUCUUAUCCCUUUCGAACUUAUGCAUAAAACUAAAUGCAUAAUGAUGCAGAAACUAUAUAUAUAUAUAUANNNNNNNNNNNNNNNNNNNNNNNNNNNNNNNNNNNNNNNNNNNNNNNNNNNNNNNNNNNNNNNNNNNNNNNNNNNNNNNNNNNNNNNNNNNNNNNNNNNNNNNNNNNNNNNNNNNNNNNNNNNNNNNNNNNNNNNNNNNNNNNNNNNNNNNNNNNNNNNNNNNNNNNNNNNNNNNNNNNNNNNNNNNNNNNNNNNNNNNNNNNNNNNNNNNNNNNNNNNNNNNNNNNNNNNNNNNNNNNNNNNNNNNNNNNNNNNNNNNNNNNNNNNNNNNNNNNNNNNNNNNNNNNNNNNNNNNNNNNNNNNNNNNNNNNNNNNNNNNNNNNNNNNNNNNNNNNNNNNNNNNNNNNNNNNNNNNNNNNNNNNNNNNNNNNNNNNNNNNNNNNNNNNNNNNNNNNNNNNNNNNNNNNNNNNNNNNNNNNNNNNNNNNNNNNNNNNNNNNNNNNNNNNNNNNNNNNNNNNNNNNNNNNNNNNNNNNNNNNNNNNNNNNNNNNNNNNNNNNNNNNNNNNNNNNNNNNNNNNNNNNNNNNNNNNNNNNNNNNNNNNNNNNNNNNNNNNNNNNNNNNNNNNNNNNNNNNNNNNNNNNNNNNNNNNNNNNNNNNNNNNNNNNNNNNNNNNNNNNNNNNNNNNNNNNNNNNNNNNNNNNNNNNNNNNNNNNNNNNNNNNNNNNNNNNNNNNNNNNNNNNNNNNNNNNNNNNNNNNNNNNNNNNNNNNNNNNNNNNNNNNNNNNNNNNNNNNNNNNNNNNNNNNNNNNNNNNNNNNNNNNNNNNNNNNNNNNNNNNNNNNNNNNNNNNNNNNNNNNNNNNNNNNNNNNNNNNNNNNNNNNNNNNNNNNNNNNNNNNNNNNNNNNNNNNNNNNNNNNNNNNNNNNNNNNNNNNNNNNNNNNNNNNNNNNNNNNNNNNNNNNNNNNNNNNNNNNNNNNNNNNNNNNNNNNNNNNNNNNNNNNNNNNNNAUAUAUAUAUAUAUAUAUACAAGUCACUAACCGGUUAAGCAGUUAAAGAAAUAUCAGCAAUGAAGAACCCUUAAUCCAACUUUCGACCCGUACACAGCAAAAUAGCAAGUAUAGAGGAGCUUUAAUGUUUACCAAACAAAACCUUAAUUCUAUUUUAAAGAGUAGAGAGCAAUAUUUUUUAGUAUUCAAGUAUGAGCAAAGUCAAGAUGUCUGAGUCCCUAAACAAUGAAAGGGAGCCUUGUUUAUAUACUAACUGAGAGGGGCACGGUAAUAAGGGAAGAAAUAAUCAAGGAGCCAAUUAUAACAUGUUUUCCUUAAACAAAAGGAGUAUAAAAUCAGUCCCGUAUUUAUUUAUUCUUUUUACCAAACAUAAACAAGUAAGAAAUCUGCCUACUUUUAAUUAAGGUAAGGAAAUCAAUUGAGAAGUCACUAUUUUUACCAAGUUCAAAUUUACGGACAGUCACCAUACAAAUUGACAAAAAUAAAUAAAUAUCGAAGGAAGGGAAUAAAUUUGGGAUCACUUACGCACUAUCAUUACACGCCUUAUUAAUUUUAAGACUUACCAUAUUCAACUUUCAAACAAGGAAUUCAAAUAGUUAAAUAACCUGUAAGUAAGCUAUAAUAGCUCAACUAUUAAUGCUAUAUACCAAGCAACUAAGGGAAAUACAAUUAUACGCAUGACAAUAUCAUAUGCAAUAACAUACUGAAUCCAAAGCCAUAUCAAUUAGUAAAUCCAUUUAUGCUCUAAUUGGUUUAAACGUGCAAAUUGCUUCUAAAUUGAAUGAGAAUCAACACUCAGAUUAAUUAAUGGGUUAACUAUCAAGAUUAACAAAUGUAACCAAGGUAACUGGCAAAUUCAAAGACAAGUGCGAGAUAUCCAUAUUAAUCUUGAGAAGAACAAUGGAGCGUAUGAAUUUCGAGAAGAAAAUACCAUUAGAAAAAAAAUAAAAAUCGAUAAAAAUUAAUUUAAGCUAUUUUAUAUUAACAAGUAAAUAUUUGAUGAGUUGUUUCAUGAAUAACAACAAACUAUAAAUAAACAUAGAAUAGACAUUUAAAGGGGCGCACCUGGACGGAUCCUUAGCUAAAUUCGGAAAAUUUACCGGAGCUUCUAGCUUGUUUCUUCGUACUCAUGGCUGUUGGUCGGAGUUACUGUUUCUCUCACCGGAAAAAGGAAGGCAGUGGAGCAGCAUUGGCUGCUGGCUGUUCUCGCCGGUGAUUGCUGGUCGCUGGUGGCUUCGCCAGUCACUGUUGAUUCUGGUGGUCCUCGCCAUUUGCUGGCUGUUGUUGUCACUGGCUGGAGCUGUUGUUGUUGUUGUUGUUGUUGUCGUCGACUGGAGCUGUUGUUGCUGUUGUUGUCGCCGACUGGAGCUACUUGAGGCGCUGGCUCUCGAGUUGCUGUUCCACCGGUGGUCCUCGCCGGCUGCUAGUCAGACGGGGAGAAAAAAGAGAUGGAGAAGAAGGGAGGAGAGGGGAAGGGAGAGAGAGAGAGGCGGCUGCCACCAGCAAAUGGUGGUGAUUACUGUUCUCGUCUCUGGCGACUGUUGGUCACCUGGAAUCUCGCCGGCUGCUUGUUGGUUUUCAUCAGAGGAGACGGGUGAGAAGAGAAGAGAGAGCAGUGGCGCUAGAGAGAGAGGAAGAGUGAAUAAAUUUUAGGGUUUUGAUCUCUUAGAACUAAAAUAGGAAAGGUUAAAAGGAUUGAUCUCGUCUAUUGAUUUAAUAACAGAUGAAGGGCUAGGAUUUGAUCUUAGGUUUUAACUAAAGGAUAGACGGUUGAGAUUAAAAGAUGAAAUUUUAAAAUCAGAUUGAAUUGAAUUUGGAAUGGCCAAAAUUGCAAUAGAAUUGGCUAGGAUUGAAAUGAAAGGGUGGCUAUAAUUGAAAUACAAUUGGAAUUGAAUAUGCUAGAUUUUAAAGGAAUGAGAAUAAAAUAGGCUAACAUUUAAACGAUUUUGAGGAAACUAAGAAGAUGCUAUUCGAUUAAUAAAAUACUACAUAUAUUACAACAUUUUUGUAUAAUUAAAAUAACUUAAAUUUUAAAAUAUUUGAAUAAAAUAAUUACUUUUAGUUUUACUAAUAAUUUUAAAAAUAUUUUAAUAAUUUUAUAAAGAGAGCAUACUAAAAUGUACAAUUUUUAGACAAAAUCGACUAAAAUUUUAGAACUCAAAAAUAUAUUCAAAAUAAAUAUUUAAUCGAAUAGCAUUCCCAAAAGGGUUAAAGGUCGGUCAAAAUUGGGUAUCAACAACUAUGGGUGGUGGAAGAAUCGCAUACAUGAUUACAUCAAUGCUGAAGACACUGAGUUGUGGGACGUGAUUCUUGAUGGACCGUACAUUCCCACAAAGAAGGUGAAAGAUGGAGAGCUCACCACAACAGCUAUCAAAACCAGAAAGGAGUACAAUGAAACGGACAAGAAGAAGAUAGAGAAGAAUUAUAAAGCAAAGAAGAUUUUGGUAUGUGGAAUCGGGUCAGAUGAGUACAACCGAAUCUCUGCCUGUGAGACAACCAAGGAGAUAUGGGACUAUCUUCAAAUAGCCCAUGAGGUAACAACACAAGUGAAUGAGUCUAAGGUCGAUAUGCUUAUGACUCAAUAUGAGAACUUGUGUAUGAAGGAAAGUGAAACUAUCUUCGAGAUAAACUCAAGAUUCACCUCCAUAACCAACGAACUGAGAUGCCUUGGUGAGCCUAUUCCCCUAAGCAAACAAGUUCGGAAGAUUCUCAAAGUACUUCCCAAGUCAUGGGAAAGCAAAGUGAAUGUUAUAACUGAAGCAAAAGAUCUGAAGACUCUUUCCAUGGAUGAACUGAUUGGAAAUCUCCAAACCUAUGAGUUGAACAAGCAACAGGGGACAAACAUGAAUGAGGAAAACAAGGAGAAAUCAGUUGCUUUGAAAACAUCUCAAAACGAUGUGACUGAAGAGGAGGACGAAAUGGCAUAUGUUACUAGAAGGUUUCAGAAGAUUAUCAAGAAGCAUGGAGGCUUUCAAAAGAAAGCUUCGACCAGCAGAGCAGCAAAUGCAAAUGAUCUUUGUCAUAAAUGUGGCAAACCUGGUCAUUUUAUGAGGGACUGCCCCAGCCAGAAGCAGGAAACUCGGGACUUCAGACCUCGCAGAAGGGACCAAGUCCUAGACCAUGCCAAGAGUAAAGCUCAUGCUGAUCAACUGGUAAAGAAAGCAUUGGCUGUAUGGGGAAACGUAUCUAGCGAGUCCGAGGAAGAGACAGAUAGUCCAGAAGAUGUCUCGAUGAUGGUUGUGGAAGAUGAUGAAACUGUCUACAAUUCUAUUUUUUCAUUAAUGGCAAAUUCUGAUGAUGAAGAGGAUCUGAAUGAGGUAACCCUUUCUAAUCUCAAGGAUGAUCUAGAUACUCUUCCCAUUAAUAGAUUGAGAAAACUUGUUGCUCUAUUAAUUGAUUUAGUUGAUGAACUAACUUCUGAAAAUUUGAUGAUGAGUGAAAAGCUGAGUUUGUGUGAGGAUGAAAACGCAGCUCUCAAAUGUCUAAAAUGUCUAAAAUGAGUGUUAGGAUAGGUAUCCUUGAGACUGGUAGUCUGGAAUCUAACAAGGAACCUGGUACCUCUAAGGGUGGGAAGUGAAAACUCAGUAACUUUAAGGUUGAACUAGAAGAGAAACUUAAGACCUCUGAGUCUAAGUUAGUUGCCUCCCUAGAAAGGAAUUCUCAACUAGUGAAGGAUCUAUGUAAGAUCAAAGAAGAGUUGAACCACUCCCUCAAAUGGACUGAUUCGUUUAAGAUACUCUCUAACUUGGCAAAUCAGAAGUUCAACAACAGAAAGGGUUAGGUUGUAGACAGAUAGAGCCUCCCUACAAUCCUCAUAGUAAAUUUGUGUCUGUCUCUGACAACCUUUUGUGUACCCACUAUGGAAAAAAUGGUCAUCUGAAAGAAAAUUGUGAGAUUUUGAGAGGAGUAAAAGAAAGGCAGGAGAAGUUUCUUAAAUUAAGAAAGGUUUUUGAAAAAAAGAAAAAGGUACCUAGUCCCAGUUACCACUUUAGCAAGAACACUUUACCCCCAUGGACAGGAAGGUUUCUCAUUAAGCCUUUUGACAGUUUUAGGGAACUCCAUUUGAAGUGGGUUCCUACGUCUAAUAAGUGAUUUUGUGCAGAAAAUAGGAAGCAGUCAAUGCUGGUACAUGGAUAGUGGAUGCUCAAGGCACAUCACUGGAGACACUUUAAACUUCCUCUCUUUGGAAGCACACCAAGGUGGUGGUGUGUCAUUUGGUGGUGGAAAGAAGGGUUUUAUUCUUGGAAUUGGCAAGAUAGGAAGAACAUUUGAUCACUCCAUAGACAAUGUACAUUAUGUGGAUUGUUAGAAAUACAAUCUCCUGAGUGUAUCUCAAAUUUGCGACAAGGGAAAUGAAGUCAAGUUCAUGUCUGAUAGGUGUCUGGUUACAAACUGUGCAACUAAAAGGGUUGUUUAUGUCUGCCAAAAGAGUCAAAAAUAUGUAUGUUGCAGAUCUUGACUCUAUUGAAGGGGACUGUCUUUCAUGCCUGAGUGCUCAAACUGAUGAUGCAAAUCUGUGGCAUCAGUGAUUGGUCAUGCAAGUACCUCUUUGUUGAACAAGCUUGUUGCAAGGGACUUGGUCUGUGGAUUGCCAAAGUUAAAGUUCUCAAAUGAUAAAGUUUGUGAUGCAUGUGCAAAAGGGAAACAAACAAGAUUAUCCUUCAAAUCCAAGAAAUAUGUGAGCACAACCAAACCUCUGGAUCUUCUCCACAUGGACUUGUGUGGACCUAUCAGAGUUCAAAGCAAAGGAGGUAAGAAGUAUAUUCUGGUAGUUGUUGAUGAUUUCUCCAGGUUCACUUGGAACAUGUUUCUGCGGACAAAGGAUGAGACGGUCGAACUUCUGAUCACGUUUGCCAAAGCAAUUCAACUGAAGGUUAACUGCAAGAUUGCUAGUACCAGAUCUGACCAUGGCACAAAGUUUGAGAACUCUCAAAUUGAAGACUUUUGUGCUGAAAAUGGAAUUAAUCACAAUUUAUCCGCACCAAGGACUCCUCAACAAAACGGAGUUGUUGAAAGGAAGAACAAAACAUUGGUGAAUAUUGCUAGAACCAUGCUGAUUGACUCAGGACUAGAAAUGAGUUUUUAGGCAGAAGCAGUCAACACAACAUGCUAUGUUACUAACAUGUGUCUUAUCAGUUCUAUGAUCAAGAAAACACCUUAUGCGUUGCUCAACAAUAGGAAACCUUCAAUUGCUCAUUUGAAACCAUUUGGUUGCAAAUGCUUUGUACUGAACAAUGGAAAGGAUGACAUUGGAAAGUUUGAUGCCAGGAGUGAUGAAGGCGUGUUUGUUGGGUACUCUUUUACCAACAAGGCAUACAUGGUUUUUAACAAAAGAACUCUAUGUGUUGAUGAGAGUAUGCAUGUGAAAUUUGAUGAGUUUGAGAGAAAUGAUGAACACAAAGAAGACCCUGAUUUGGAUGAUCUGAUCAAGGGAAAACAGGACAAUGGAAUCCAAAAUCCUAGAAACAAACAGGUUGCGAAAGAAAUUGAUGCAGAACUCACAGAAUAACCUAGUCCCUCUGGUUCAGCCUAUGAGAUAUUAUCUCAAAAUCCAGAAGGUGAGGAAGGUGAAUCUGAUGUUGAUGUGAAAGAAGAGAUAACCAGAAAUUUUGGAUGGAACCAUCAAUCCUCAGAUCCACUGGACAAUCUCAUCUCCCCACUUGAUUCAGGAAUACAAACUAGAUCCAAAACAAGAAAUUUGGUUGCAUAUUCAGCCUUCAUAUCAUCCAUUGAGCCUAAGAAUAUCAAAGAGGCUUUACAGGAUGCAGAUUGGGUAACAUCAAUGCAGGAAGAUCUUCAUCAGUUUGAGAGAAGCAAGUGUGGCACCUGGUCCCCAGACCACUCAACAGAACCAUUAUUGGGACAAGAUGGGUUUUCAGAAACAAACUUGAUGAGCAUGGGAUCAUCACCAGAAACAAGUCAAAACUUGUGGUGCAGGGAUACAAUCAAGAAGAGGGGAUUGACUAUGACGAGACCUUUGCUCCUGUAGCCAGAAUGGAAGCUAUUAGAAUCCUGAUAGCCUUUGCCGCCCACAUGGAGUUUAAACUGUUUCAAAUGGAUGUCAAGAGUGCCUUCUUGAAUGGGAAUUUGAAAGAAGAGGUGUAUGUCAAAUAGCCUCCAAGUUUUGAAGAUGCUGCCAAAUCAUGUACUAAAGUUGGAUAAAGCUUUGUAUGGUUUAAAGCAAGCUCCCAGAGCUUGGUAUGAGCGCUUGUCAAAAUUCCUCCUUGCAAAUGGGUCCAACAGGAGUAAAAUUGAUAAUAACUUGUUCCUAAAAUCUAGAGGUAAGGAGUUGUUGAUUGUGCAGGUAUAUGUCGAUGACAUCAUCUUUGGAGCUACUUCAAAUUCACUGUGCAAAGAGUUACUGAUUUGAUGAGUAGUGAAUUUGAAAUGAGCAUGAUGGAGGAGCUUACUUUCUUCCUAGGAUUGCAAAUCAAGCAGUCUCCUCAGGGCACUUCUAUAUGUCAAGAGAAGUAUAUAAGAAUUGCUCAAAAAGUUCAAUCUACUUGAGGAAAAAGUUCUUGACACUCCUAUGAGCACAAGUGUGAAACUUGAUCUGGAUGAAGAUGGUGUUGAGGUUAAUCAGACCAUGUAUAGGGGAAUUAUUGGGUCACUUCUGUACCUCACUACAAGCAGGCCUGACAUAGUCUUCAGUGUAGGGAUGUGCGCAAUGUUUCAAGCAGCGCCAAAGGAGUCACAUUUGAAGGCAGCCAAGCGAAUUCUGAGUACCUGAAGGGAACUCAGGACCUGGUCCUCUUCUAUCCAACGGGUGAUUCGCUUGAUCUAAUUGGUUAUGCUGAUGUUGAUUAUGCAGGUUUUCUUGUUGAUUGAAAGAGUACAUCAGGCAUGGCACACUUUCUUGGAUCAUCACUGAUUUCUUAGGGACUAAGAAGCAAAAUUCAGUGGCACUGUCUACAGUAGAGGCAGAAUAUGUGGUUGGUGCAUCAUGUUGUGCUCAGUUCCUGUGGAUCAAGUAGCAACUGGAAGAUUUUGGUGUUCUCACAGACAUUAUCCCUCUAAUAUGCGACAACACCAGUGCAAUGAACAUGGCCAAGAAUCCUGUUCAGCAUAAAAAGACAACGCACAUAGAUGUGAGGCAUCACUUCCUAAGGGACAAUGUUGAGAAGCAAAAUGUGGUGAUGAGUUUCUGCAAGACAGAAGACCAGUUGGCUGAUAUCUUUACAAAACCCUUGAGUAAAGAAUGUUUCAUCAAAAAUAGGUUGAGACUGGGGAUGCACAAGAUCACCUGAUUCCAUGACAUGUUUGCACAAAAUCUUCCAUUUGAUUAUGUUAAGGAGGGUAGGUAUCUAUACUUAUUGUAAUGCGUAUUGUUUGAGAAUUCACUUCUGGCACCUUAAUGCAGGUAUACACUCAUGGCAUGAUGGCUGAAGGGAAGAUCUAAUCAUACAGACAGGGCUACAUACUAAAUGAGACCUGGUCCCCACGAGGUUAGUAUCACUUAUGCUACACUUUGUGUAUUUCAACGUCACUGUCACAUGUCUCUUACCCAUUCAUCGCGUUAGUUUUAGACGUCUUUUCACUUUAAAUCCAAGAGUCACUACUUUUCAGGAACCCGAUACCUCUUGGACUUAAAUAUAAACCUAACCUCUAUUAAUCCAAAAAUCUUAACCUCUUUCAAAUCUCUUUUGUGAUUUCUUAUUCGUUCCCAAAUUGCCCUUUCUUCUUCAUCAAAAUGACUAACUCAUCUUCUUCUUCAAAGCUUCCCAUUUCUUAAGAGAUUGAAAACCCUGGUUCCUUCAGUUUCUCCACCCUUUCCCCAGAAGAAUCUUCGUUGACACCAGUCUGUGGUGUUAGUGAAACGGGUGAGUCCAUCACACCUCAUACUAAAGUGGUGGCUUCUCCUACACUUCCAUCUGGGGAGAUCUUACCCUGCUCGCCUACAUUAGUUCUAUCUGGUGAGAAAUUUCAAAACACAGAAGCCCAAUCAGUCAUAAAACCAAGUGUUGACCCUUCAAUUGAAGAACUUGACGUAUUAUCUAGGGGAGUGUCUUCUACUAUGUCUGAGAGGUUAUUUGAUGGAGAUCUGCCUGAGGGAAAGAGUCCCGAGUUGAAUAUUCUAGAAGCAGGGGCAGAAUUAGUGGUUGUACAAAGUUUGGCCUCUCUUAGAGGCGAUGUUCAACCACCUUGCUGGAACAAGAGUUGAGGUCUCCGGAGUAGGUCUCUCAUAGUGUUCAACCUGUGUUUGAACAAACGCCUAGGUCAUUUGAUGUUGAUAGUGACAAGGAAGAGGAAGAAGAAGUUCCUUUGAAAUGGAGCAAAAUAGAGGUGCGAGGAGCCAACACUUUAACAGUUGGUGUCCCAGAUUCGUAAAUAGGUAGGAGUGCUCCUGAGGUUGUUCUUACUAAUGAGCCCGCUGAGUUUGCAAAGGAAAGAAAAAAAUGGAAGGGAAAGUUGGUUAAGUCUCACUCAAAAGGGGACAAAAAGAGGUAUGGGACUAGGAGCGAAAUGCAGAAAAUUAUGGGUUAUGCCAUAGCAGUGAAUGUAAUUCAAAUGGAGAGGGCUAGGAAAAGAAGACGAGAAGGUCACUUGCCUGAAGAACCCACAUCAACUCCUUUGCCUGUUGGGUCCAGUGAUACUGAAUUUGAUGAUAUCAAUGCAUAUGUGGUGAAACGAAGAAAGGAAGCUGAGGUUGAGAGGGUUAAAUCAAAGGGAAGUCAAAAGUAUGUAAAUAAAUCUCCUGUGAAGAAAAAGAGAGUGAAGAAAAGGGUUACUGUUAAAUCAAAUCAGGACAAGGGACCACGUCCUAGUGUUCCAAAACAAGUUGCAGACAAGGAAAUGACCAGGGAAGAGCGCAUAGCUGAAAUGGAGAACCAGAAAGUGUUGAACGGCAGAGUUUUUGAUCCUAAUAUUAUAACCAAAUUUGGUAUGUCCAAUUUCUUUGAUGUUGUUUCUCUAUAAGUUUGGGGCCAUCUAUUCGAACCCAGUACCUUAUUUGCAUGAACCUGAGGUGCGCGAAUUUUACUACAAAAUGGAGUUGUUAGAGGAUGGAGGAAUCAGGACUUCUGUCAAAAAUAUUAAAAUCUUUCUAGAUGAGGAAACUUUGGGGAUCAUUCUAGGUGUGCCUUUUUCGUAGUUUCCCUUUAAUAAGUUGUACUCAUUGGUUUUGCUGAGAAAUGAUUGGGAGAAGGAUAGUGCGAGGAAUCUGGUCAAUUGAAGGCUGCAAGCCAUCCAGUGAGUUCUCAAAACAGGCCACAAAUCGUGGGGACAUCAAGCGUGCAAGGAUGCCAAAGAAGUUUCUCAAAGGAGAAUAUCAACUACUCUUUGAGCUCAUCAACAAGGUGAUAGUACCAAGGACAGAGAAGAGAACUGUAACAUCUGAUGCCGAUCUAUUUCUCAUGGAGAAGCUGGAUGAACUUGAGGAAAUAAAUCUCCCUGCUAUAAUGCUUGAACAUAUGCACAAGGUGAUGACCUGGAAAUUGGCAAAGCACAGCAUCCCUUAUGGAUACUUGCUGAAUUAUGUGUUCAAACAUUUCGAAGUGACUUUGGGACGAGGGGUACCUAGUACCACCAAGCAAAUGUUCACUAAUGCUACCCUGCUAGAAUGUGAGUGUGUUGAAGGGAAGGACAGCGGUAGGUCUCAGGUGGCAGAUCUUCUAGAGCAGCAAGCCUCUCUUAAACCAGAGUUGACUGAUCUCACCGUGAUCUUGAAUGAUAAGGAGGUUGAGAUUGCGCAACUGAAAUCUCAGCUGCAGAAGGCUGUUUCAAAAGGACCUGGUACUAGUGGUGUAGAUGAGCACGUGGUGCAAAAGUUGAGAGCUGAGAAUGAGCAGCUGCUGAAGACAAAUGCCUCACUCAGUGAGGAAGUCAAGGCUCUCAACAAGCAAGUUAUUCAGGCUCAUGAGGUUGCAAAUGAGCGAAUGUCCUUGCUCAUGCGUACCCUUAAUCCCCUUUCCCCUCCGUCCUAAACGAGUCUGUCUCCCUAGUCUUUUCAUCCCUAGUUAAAAACUCUAGUGGCUAUGUGUAAUGUUUUGAAUGACUCAUGUGGUCAGCUUUUGUGAUCUAAUGCUAAUUGUUAUUGUGCCUUGUUUAGUAUGGUUUACUACUCUCUUUAUGCUUACAUAUACACGCUCUGUGUGGCCCAUGGCCCAGAUAUCUUAAAUGUUUUUCAUUAACUCGUAUAUGUGUACUGCUAUUCAUUUAAAAUGAUGUCAAAAUGGGGAAUUUUUGGUAAUUUGUUGUGAAAUAAGAAGGGAACUGAACUAAGGGGUAAGAACAGUGAUAUGGGGAAUAGGUGACAGGGGGAACUAAUGUAAUUUUUGAAUGAAUGCUUAACACUCAUGUGAGGUUGCUUGUAGGUUGUUUGUCAUCAUAAAAAAGGGGGAAACUGAUAAGUCUUAAUGCUCCCAGAUGUUUUGAUGAUCUCCUCACAAGUGCAGGGGCCCGGUCAUAUGCAGAGUAUGCUUGUCUAGGGUCAUAUGUUGUACAGCUGGAAAGUUGUAUGCGUCAGAAAGUUGGUAAGGUCGCCAGUGUACUACACCAACCAGAAGUGACGAGGUUGUUUGUCCAAAGGGUAUUAACUCUUGAUGUUUGAUAUAUUCAAGACAAAAACAACAAACAACUCAUUCAUUCAAAGAGAGAUAUUCAAGCUUCAAAACAACAGGGACCUGAUAGAUUGCAUUAUUGCUUCCUGUACCAGCUGUUACUUUUGACUGCCUGCAAUUGUGCGUAUAUUGUAGGAAUCGUUUCUCUUGUGAUAGAAACGUUUCAAUCUUGGGUGAAUCAUUGUAAGAACUUAGUUGUGGGUAACUUAGUAUCUUUCAUCAAAGUCUAUAUUAAUCAUUUGGGUUAGUAUAGUGGGCAGUGUUGUAUCUGCUUAGGCUCAUUUAAGUAAUAUGUGGUAUUACUUAGUGUGGAGAUUAGCAGGUUAAUCUCGUGUUGUAAAUUGGGUUUUACUUUUGCUUGUGAAGUUUAGUAAAAGCAGUUUGAAAAACCCUGUGAGACAGGUCGUGGUUUUACUCCCUUGAGCAAAGAGGUUUCCACGUAAAGUUGUGUGUGCAAUCUUUACUUUUAGCAUUUAUUUACUUUCUAUUAUUGUAAUCGUGUUUAGGACCUGGUCCUAUCGUAACUAGUGGACGCAUACAUUCCAACACCCCCCUUAAAACGUUAAUGGAAUUGGAGUAUUUAUAGUAGGAGAAUGGAAUCGAUUGGGGGGAAACCAGUGAGGAAGAUUGGAUUUCAAAUUCGAAAUUCAAAUAGUUCGUGGAAAGGAAAACGUUGAAAGCUGUCAACAGUACCAAUUUACACAAUCUUCAACAGAUUGAGGAGGAUCGUCCGAUUACAAGUGAAGGACGAGUGAGGUGUGAGAUUUCAACACCUCACUAUUCUCAAACGGCUCUUGUACGAGAGGAUAAGAAGAGAGAGGAGAGGAUGCAACUUUUUUUUGGAAUUACCGGAUUUAUGCGACUAGUCGCUGGAUUUUUGAGUUUCGCUUGCAUCUGGGUUUGGACGAGUUUCUGGGCUUGCUGACAUUGUUCUGGUCGCGAAGAAGACAAGCUACAGGGGUCUGGGUCGGGUCGCAUAUGCUGUUGUUGUAUGUUUUGUAUGUUGGGUAUGUUGGGAUGGGAUGGGAAUUAUUUGUUGGAAUGGGCUUGGGUUGCUGAAAAUUAGAAAUUGGCCCAAAUAAGAAAAGGGGUUAGAUCUUUUAAGGAAUAGUCAUAUUGCGUUUAAUUUAGAUGAACUAAUAUUAAUUAAUUAACGAGCUUCUUGAUCUUAACGAAAUAUAACAAUUAUUUCUACUAUAAAAUAAUUAAUUUAAUUACAAACUAAUUAACUCGAAAUUAUAAAUAUAACUUAAACUAAAUUAAUAAAAUAUUUAACUGAAAUGUAAAAUCUUUGUGAUGAUUUUCAAAUAUUUAUAAAAUAACGUGAUUAUAAAAAUAUACAUAUACAUUAUUUAAAAUUAUUAAAAUUAUUAAAAAUGACAAAAUAACUUUAAAAUAACUUGAAAGUAUUUUGAAUAUUCAUAAAAUAUACUAAUUAUAUAUAAUUAUAUAGAACAAAAAAAAAAUAUAAAAAUGACAAACUAUUUAAAAUAACUUGCAAACUAUAUUAUUAUUAUUUUUUAAAAUUUUAUAUGACUAAUUAUUUUAAAUCGUUUGAAAUUGAAGAAGCUCGAUGAUUAAUUUAUAUUGUGGAGGGUCAAAAUUGGGUGUCAACAAAAAUUAUCCAUACAAAAAAUAAGUGUUAAAGAAAAAUCUUAAUGUAAACAACUGUUGUUAAUCUGAACCAUUCACAUUCAGACCUCUAUUAAGUUCAAACAAACUAAUUUUCAAUAAAAGAAUAUGUUUUAUGAAAAUUUGUUCUUCAAAAUGAUGUUCAUGAAAUGCGUGUUACGAACAUUAUACAUAUGAGAUAUCACAUGAGUUUGCAUUUUUUCUUAAAUGACAAUAAUUAAUUUCAUAAACGAUACAAUAGUAGUCCUAGAAUCUUUUGUACAAGUGAGUAAAACAACCUGUUUUGACCAUUAUACAUGUGAAAUAUCACAUGUAUUUGAAUUUUUCUUGACUAGAUGUGAAAUAUCAUUUGUAUUUGAUUUUCUCUUGACUGGUAAUAUGAUUAUAUUCGUAAAUGACAAAAAAUGUUAAUGUUGAAUUUUAUGUAAUAUCACAUUAAUUUUCCUUUUUCUUAAAUGGUAAUAAUAUUUUCAUAAACGACAAAAUAGCAGUCCUGUAAUUUUUUUGUACAAGUGAGCAAAACAACGUGGUUUGACCAUUAUACAUUUUGAUUUUUCUUGACUAAAUGUGAAAUAUCACAUGUAUUUAAUUUUUUUCUUGACUGAUAAUAUGAUUAUAUUCGUAAACGACAAAAGUAGAGUCUUCUUCUCAUCUUAGAGAAACUCUAUAAAUUCUAAUGAGUUACUCACUUAUUUGCAUAUUCUUUCUUACACAAGAAAGUGAAAUACAUUCUUAAUCAUCUUGACUGAAUUUUGCUUGUCUUCAAAUAUCUAGAGUUCCUCUCUUCAAAUCACCCAUCACAUACAAUGAGGAAUUCUAUGCUACGCUUUGUUCUAACUCUUGUCAAUCUUAAAUGUAGGUGCUUUGUAAAUUUAUACACGCAGAAAACAUAUUCUUCCAAGAGUUGUUAUUGAAGUGUGCAUAAGAAGCUAGGCAAUGACUCUAAUUUUCCUAAACCGAACCCUCAGAUUCUCAUCAAUUGUGCUUGUUGAAUUCAUGUAUUCCCUCACUAGGCAUAAGUUCUUCAAAAUGUUAAAGAGAGAUUCAUCAAGAGAAUGCCUUCCUUUUAUUUGUAAGGAUAUCAAGAAGGAAAGGCAGAAGUGUGAGGGAAAUGUAGCAACGUGUUUCUAUCCCUUCAGAUCAUCUUAGAAGAACUUCUGAUUUUCCUUGUCGACAUCCUUAGCACAACUAAAGGUGGAAAAGAAGGUAGUCUUUUGACGGAGAUUCUUUUCCACAUAUUGAACAACUUAUGCUAGCGAGAGAACAUCCGUGGAUUUGACAAACCGACUUGAGAACUUGAGGGGUUGUCUUUAGGAGAAAUGGAUCCAUUCUCUGGGUUUCUGAUGCUCACUUCCAUAACUCCUCUUGGAGAAGAACCAUCGUGUUUCUCCUUUUCCAUCUCAAACAUUAUGAGGUCUACAACAAGAAGAUCAUCCAUGUGAAAGAAUUACAAUCUUUUUGGAAUACAACUGAUCUCGCCUUGAGCAGAAGCCGAGGAAGAGAGAUCCUUCUAUCUAUCAACAACAAAUUUGUUUUCCGAGGUAUGUACUGCAUCCAAUAAUUAGUUCUAAAUUAUUCAAAUCAUAAACUAACAUACUAAAUCUUUCCUCUUAUACAUUCCUUGGUGUUGCAUCAAAGAAAGUAUAACUAAUUCCAAAAUCAAGAAUUCAAAACGAUUGCAGGCUGGUGGUGCAUGCUUCACAGAGGAAAUCGAUUGCAAGGUAGCGGAUGACCAACAAAGCAUGGAAGUAAUGUUUUUGUUGUAAUUAACAUGUAAUUGUAACCUUCGUACUACCUCUAUUCCUAGUGAUGCAAUUUCUCAUUAUAUUCUCUUGUUUCACUAUAUCAAAGCAUUUACAGUUGAUUUGCUUGUCUCACUGUAUCGUGUCAAAUUGUUAGAGAAGUGAGAAAUCAUAUAUUUAUUUUAUGAACAUUUUCUUAGUGGGUAAAUCGAAAACCGAACUGUUGAUGACCAAAAAUCGAUAAAAAAUAUGCUAUUGGUUUAGUAUAUUUUUUUAGAAAAACGAUAAACCAAAUCGAUAAUACAUAAAUUCGAUGCACUCCCAAAAAAAGGUCUCUUAAGAGUCUUGCUUUCCAAUUAAAUAUUACAAAACAUAUGCCCCAAAAAAAAUAUUCUCUAAAAAGUUUUUUCCUGUGAAGUUAAUUUUUCCUAGCAAACUUAUGUAUACUUAAGGAUAUUUUGACCUACAAUUUUUUAUUAAAUAAGCACUAAGAAAAAGUUAAGGAUCACAAAUUUAAAGGACAAAAAUGAAAAAAUAAAACCAUAAAAAAAAGAAAGAUAGUUCGUACAUUUUUUUAAUGAUCAAUUAUUAUAAAUUAAGUGAUCAUUUAAAUGAAAAAAUAAAAAACCAUCAAAAAAUAGAGAUAGUUCGUACAUUUCUUUUAAUGAUCAAUUAUUAUAAAUUAAGUGAUCAUUCAACCAUUCAAUCAUCUGACUCACUUGUGCAAUAUUAUUUUCUUGUAUCAAAGUAUAUAAUCAUCAUAAGGUGAUGGAAUAGCAAUAGAGAUCAGACUAAAGAACUUUGUGAUUGGACACUUUCAUCAAAUUUAAAGGACUUAUCUGCCAUAAUGGUUGCCAUACAAUUUUGAACAGGUAAAUACAAAUUAAAUUUGCAUAUAAAAAUUUACAUGUUGCUUUUGUUAAUUAGCUUUGACUCCUACUUUAAGAAAAUAAAACUAAAAUGACAUCAAUUUGGUCUGAGUCUCCUUUAUUAUUAGUAUUAUUUUAUCAUUUGCCUCUUGAAUGAGUGGAUAUGUUAUGUGUCCAAACAACAAAACCAAAUGAAAAAUUCUAGAAUACAUUGUAGGAUUUUGUCUUAUUAUGUUUCCUUUGUAUGCCUACCUUGUCAAAUCGAUUUUUUUUAUUUUAUGAAAUGGGCUCUUUUAUGGCUUAAUUCCAAUAAAUUUAGUAGGAAAAAGAGCAUAAAUAUUAAAUUAUAUAUGUUUGAACUAUAAUAUUUCUCCUCUAAAAUGUUUGUGUAUUAUUUUGACCUUAAUUAGAAUUAGCGGUAUACCUAAUUCUAGGAGGGUUCAUAAUUUGAUAAAAAAAUCGAUUCAAAUUGCAGAUUAAAUUGAACUAAUUAAAUAAAUUAAUAAUUCUUUUGAGUUUAAUUUGAUUUUUAAUAAAUCAGUAAUAUUUGAUUGUUUAGUUUAUUGGAAUUAAAUAGAAGAUAAAAUCGAAUGAAAUGGACCAAGUGUAUACAUAAUUUUUGUAUAUAUAUAUAUAACCAUAAAUAUUUCAUAUAAUUUUUCAUUCAUGCCCUUAAGCUAUGUGAAAUGAACAAAAAUGUCCUUCAUUUAUGGUUUGGUACAAAAAUACCCCUAUUAUUACUUAAUGUGUCAAAAAUGUCAUUUUUCCAAAUAACUAUAUUAUUUAUUUUCUUUUUAACACAAUUUUUUUCUAAGAAUAUUUUUUAAGUUAGAAAAUGUUUAUCCUACUUCAAUUUGAAAAAAAUAAAAAUAAAAUUCUUAUUUUAUUAUAAUUGUUUUUUUUGUUAUAUAUAUAAAGAUUAAUGAUGGAUUUACUAUGAUCUUAUAUAUAUGACAUAUAUUAUCCAUUGAAAGGGAAUAUGACAUAUAUUAUCCGUUAAAAGGGUACAUGAAGUUAUUCUAUUUUAAUUGAUGAAAUGAAAUUAAGAAGAAAAAAAAAUAAUUUCCGACAUUUUUAUUAUUUAAAGUGAUUUUAAAAGAAAGAAAACAAGAAUAUGGUUUUUCAAUAAUAUUUUUAUUAGGAACAAGAUGUGUUUAAAAAGAAAAGAAAAAAUAUAUUUAUUCAAAAAUAGUAACAGUAACGGUAUUUCUGGACCAAACUAUCAACGACGAGGGCAUUUUUGGACAACAGUGUUGACGGCAAGAGCAUUUUUGAGCCAAACUAUAAACGGAUGACAUUUAUAUUCAUUUCACAUAAUUUAAGGACCUUUUCUGUUAAUUUUUUAUUGAAUAAACUAAUGGACUUUAGGUCUGACCCAUUUCUCAAUCUAAAAAAGACAAAGAAUCAAAAUCAAGUCAUAUGAAAAAUAACUAUGACAUUUUAACCAAGACUUCAUAAUAUUUCUUAUAGCAUUUAUUCACAUAAUUAAAUCAUCCAGAUCUAAAAGAUAUUUUCUACAUCAUUCAAGAAAAUUAUAGCUAUCAUAAUAAAAUUGUAUUAAAGAACCAUAAGUUGGUAAAAAAUGAAAAAAUAUUUUCCAACUAUAGUAAAAAAGAAAGAGAGAAAUACAAUUAAAAUUUCUUUAAAAUCAAAUCAAACCAAUAACAAUCAAGUCAAUAAAUAUGAAUGAUAUUCGAUUUAAAAUGAUUUUUUAAAAUUAAAAAUCAAUAAAACAAAUUAUUUUAUUUUAAGCAAAAACUGACAUUGGAAUUCCACCACCCCACCCACCCACCCAUACUUAAUUACCCACAUAAUCUCCNNNNNNNNNNNNNNNNNNNNNNNNNNNNNNNNNNNNNNNNNNNNNNNNNNNNNNNNNNNNNNNNNNNNNNNNNNNNNNNNNNNNNNNNNNNNNNNNNNNNNNNNNNNNNNNNNNNNNNNNNNNNNNNNNNNNNNNNNNNNNNNNNNNNNNNNNNNNNNNNNNNNNNNNNNNNNNNNNNNNNNNNNNNNNNNNNNNNNNNNNNNNNNNNNNNNNNNNNNNNNNNNNNNNNNNNNNNNNNNNNNNNNNNNNNNNNNNNNNNNNNNNNNNNNNNNNNNNNNNNNNNNNNNNNNNNNNNNNNNNNNNNNNNNNNNNNNNNNNNNNNNNNNNNNNNNNNNNNNNNNNNNNNNNNNNNNNNNNNNNNNNNNNNNNNNNNNNNNNNNNNNNNNNNNNNNNNNNNNNNNNNNNNNNNNNNNNNNNNNNNNNNNNNNNNNNNNNNNNNNNNNNNNNNNNNNNNNNNNNNNNNNNNNNNNNNNNNNNNNNNNNNNNNNNNNNNNNNNNNNNNNNNNNNNNNNNNNNNNNNNNNNNNNNNNNNNNNNNNNNNNNNNNNNNNNNNNNNNNNNNNNNNNNNNNNNNNNNNNNNNNNNNNNNNNNNNNNNNNNNNNNNNNNNNNNNNNNNNNNNNNNNNNNNNNNNNNNNNNNNNNNNNNNNNNNNNNNNNNNNNNNNNNNNNNNNNNNNNNNNNNNNNNNNNNNNNNNNNNNNNNNNNNNNNNNNNNNNNNNNNNNNNNNNNNNNNNNNNNNNNNNNNNNNNNNNNNNNNNNNNNNNNNNNNNNNNNNNNNNNNNNNNNNNNNNNNNNNNNNNNNNNNNNNNNNNNNNNNNNNNNNNNNNNNNNNNNNNNNNNNNNNNNNNNNNNNNNNNNNNNNNNNNNNNNNNNNNNNNNNNNNNNNNNNNNNNNNNNNNNNNNNNNNNNNNNNNNNNNNNNNNNNNNNNNNNNNNNNNNNNNNNNNNNNNNNNNNNNNNNNNNNNNNNNNNNNNNNNNNNNNNNNNNNNNNNNNNNNNNNNNNNNNNNNNNNNNNNNNNNNNNNNNACUUAAUUCCCCACUUGAUCCCCUUUUCGUUUUCAAUAAGGUUUCUGAGAAUAUAAUUUAAUGAAAUUUGACUGAUAUUUAAAAUGUCCAACUUUUCUUUAUUUUGAUAAUCAAAAAUUUAUAACUUGUAGUGGUUAUCAUGUUAUUUAGAUAUUUAUAACCACCAAAGGAUACGGUGUAAUGAAUGAAAUUAUUUCUUCUUUAAUCAGAAAUUUUAUAUUUGAGUCUUGAAUAUGAAAAAAACUUUGGUAUAAAACACUCGCUCGCCCUUUCCCCAAAUAAAUCCAUUCGUGACGCGAAUUGAAAUAAUCAAACGUUAAUAUAAAUAUCAAACGGAUGAUGAAAAAUCCACAAAUAAACAUAAUCUAGUUUAGUUCAACUGACUUUGAAUAAACAAAUGACAAAUUGUUUUCAAAGAAAGCAUCUGUUUUUUUCUAAUUUGGAGAAUAUCCAAUGAGCAGCUGCCCAUCCUUAUCAUAUACAUUAAAAAAGUCAACUAAGCUUAUGUAUACGUGAGCGCGCAGAUAUAAAUAGAAUCAGCAAAAGAUACUAUUAGAAAAUCACGAUCAUAAUAAUUCAAUUAGUUAACUAUCUAAAUUAGAGUAAUAUUGAAUAAAAAAAUCAUGAUUUUAUUAUUUUUAAAUCAAGUGUUUGACAAAUAUAAAAAUAACUUAUAAUAAGUAAAAAAUGACUUAAAAUAUGUUAGGGAGUGUUUGACAAAGUCAAAAAUAACUUAAAAUAAAUUGAAAAUAACUGUAAAAAUGCUUUAAAAUCAAAAGUAGGCAUCUUCCUACUUUUUAUUUUUUAACUUAAAAGUUAUUUAAAUUUGACUUUUUAUUUUUUAACUUAAAAACUAUUGUUCAAAAUACGUUUCAAAUUAAUAAGGCAAACAAGAAUUAUUUAUCAUUAAAAAUACAUUAUAAAAAACCCUAUUGAAAUGGAAAAUGUUAAUUUUAAAUACUUCCAAGUUCCAAAUUAGUUUUAUUCAAAGUUGCACUGAAAAUUAGGUGGUAACUUGGUCAAACAAAAUUUAUUUUUUUAAGAAAAAAUUACAAGUUUGGGUGUUAAAGGACAUUUUUCCUUUUACUAUUUUAUUCAUAACUAUAUAUGUAUCUCACGUUCUUCCUUUUUCCUUCUUUAGAAAAUAAAAAUAUACAUAAUUUGGCUUUCAUAUGAAAACAGAAGAGAAGACUCUCUGUUGUUAAACUGUCACUGCCAUUGCUUUCUCUGCUAUACAAUUUUCUCAUGCUCUAAAAAUUACUUUCUUCUUCUUCUUUUUGCUUAUAUUUUUUCAAAAGUUUCAUUCUUGCUACUUGGGAUUCAGUUGAAAUUGUAAAAAGUUCCAUUCUUGGUACUUGGUGUUCUGUUGAAAUUGUUAAAUUUGCUAUGUAAAUGGUUUUUUCAGGGUUUUGAAAGGACUUGCUAUGGAUCUUGAAACAGGGUUUUAUCAGAAUCGUUUAAAGGUAACUUCUUUCUUAGUGAUUAAGUCAUACUAGUUUUCAGAUUUUUUUCAUAUAAAUGUUUUCUUGAUUAUUUUUUUUGGAAUUUUUGGGGUUUGAUUACAGAAAGAAUCUUGGAGGACAGUGUUGACAUUGGCCUAUCAAAGUUUAGGGGUUGUUUAUGGUGAUUUGAGUACAUCACCACUCUAUGUAUAUACAAGUACUUUUGCUGAUGACAUUAAACAUUCAGAGACAAAUGAAGAAGUUUAUGGGGUUUUAUCAUUUAUCUUUUGGACAUUGACUUUGAUUCCUCUAUUGAAAUAUGUGUUCAUUGUGCUUAAAGCUGAUGAUAAUGGUGAAGGAGGAACAUUUGCUCUUUAUUCACUCUUAUGUAGACAUGCUAAAGUUAACUCAUUGCCUAAUUCCCAGUUAGCAGAUGAGGAAUUAUCAACUUACAAGAAGAAUGAUGUUAAUAUUCCUGCACAAACUACUUUUGGGGGGAAAAUUAAAUCAAUUCUAGAGAGGCAUAGAGUGUUACAAAGAUUAUUGCUUGUUUUGUCUCUAGGUGGAGCUUCUAUGGUAAUAGGUGAUGGAAUUCUUACACCUGCUAUUUCAGGUAUGCCCCCUUACUGUGGAACAUUUCGUGUUAGUUUUUUGAAUAAUUUGAUUAAUUUUUGUGGGAAUAAUAUUGCAGUUUUCUCUGCCAUUUCUGGUGCUGAACUUUCUUUGGGAAAAGCACAUCACUUAUGUAAGACUCUUAGCCUCCUUCUCUGAGAUUAUUAUUGGUGUAUGCAGUGUUUUACUCCCUUUGUUUUACCUUAUAUUACUGGGGACUGGACAUGGAAUUUAAGAAAAAAAGAUAGACUUUUUAUACAUAAGCUCAAUAUGUAUAGAGCAUGCCAUAUCAUUCUUAUCAGAUCAUGCCAUCAAAAGUAAAACAGGAAUGCUAAAAUUAAAUAAUUUUUAAUAUAGGAAAGUGUCAUUUUUUUCUGUGACAGACCAAAAGAGAUAGAAUGGAAUGUAGGGAGUAUCUGCUUAACCCCACAGAAAAGUUGACUGAUCAUGGGAAACAGUGACUGUGAGCUUUUGUUCUUACCAUAUUCCAUAGUUUGCGGAUAGAUUUGGUCAUUAGAAAACCUGAAAAACUUAAAUCCUUUAAACUGUUACAUUGUGUUCUGUAAAUCAGUAAUAGUUAUUCUGUUGAUUGCUAUACAAUUUAAAGUCAAAGAUUAGAUACUAGUAGGAGCACUACUUGCAGUGCUUUUAAGUUGAAGUCCUAUGCAUUCAAGAGUUGAAAGCAGAAUCUCAACUAGCGAGUUACAACAUUGCACUCAUGCAGGAUAGAUCAAAUGUUCUCACAAGAUAAUGUUUAGACCCUUCUGACCGUACAUUUGCCUAUACUUUGUGGUUGAAUUUUAUGUUAAAUAAAGCUGUAAGAAAGAAGUAGAAGCUCUGGAUAUUCAUUCAUUAUCAGGUCAUGCCUGUUGAAUAGAACUAAUAUUAUGAAACAUUCCUCGUUUAACGCAAAAGUGAUUAAGUAGCACUCUACUGGAGCAUCUAUGUGUUCUGUAAAUGGGCUACAGUCCAAAGAGGAGAAAACUGACCCAUGCCUUUUUCUUCUAUUGGUGGUUGGGCUAAUAGAUGUUGGCUGAUCUUAAAUAGAUCCAUCAACCAUAAAGAACUGUCUUGUGGCUGAGAAACUAUAAAAACUAAAAGGGUAAAGUCUUCAAGUGGGUUGCUGAGGAGUAUGCUACUGCACUAAUAAAAACAUUGGACUUAUGCAAAAAAUAUUGAUUCGAUGCUAGCAGAUGUUAAUCCCUCUAGAAUCUCAGAGUUUGAGCAAUAGUUCAGGUUUGCUUUGCUUAAUCCAUUGAUUGUACAUUUGUACUCAUAAAUCUUGACUGUCUUUUGGACUCACUAAAUUUCAUUUGUCAGAUAUAUCUCCGAAUAAUAUAAAGGGAAUGAUGAAGGUAUAAACCAAAAUUGAGUUUUGAUUGGUUAAGGAUUCUGUGCCAACAGACACACUUCGCGUUAUUGUUAUGGUAGUUAUGGUUGAUAUGGGAUGAUCCCACCAUGAUGAGAGUUAUGUUAAUUGCAUAUACAAUAUUUUGAUUGCAUAUACACCAUGAGAUGGAAUUGAUAUCAAGGUAAUCACGGAUUUGCGUGAUAUAUCAUGUGGAGUUCCAAGAUUUUGAGAAAUCUUGGGGAUUGGGGCUUAAUUCACUCAUAUUUUUUCUUCUUUUUUUCAUUGUUUGUUGAUUGAGUUCCUAUUAUUUAAAGGAUUUAGAAUAAAAUAUAACUCUUAAUACCUACGCCCAAAAUGACUUGCUAUCUUUUCUCCUAAAUAUGAAAAAUUUGCAGAUAUAGAAGUUCCAGUUGCUUGUGUCGUACUGAUAGCAUUGUUUGCCCUUCAACAUUAUGGCACCCACAGGGUUGGAUUUAUGUUUGCACCUAUCGUCGUGACAUGGCUCUUGUGUAUCAGUGGCAUUGGGUUAUAUAAUAUAAUUCACUGGAAUCCAACUGUGUAUCGAGCACUGUCUCCAUAUUACGUGUACAAGUUCCUGAAAAAAACUCGAAAAGGAGGCUGGAUGUCCUUGGGAGGAAUCCUUUUGUGCAUAACAGGCAACUACAUAGCUGUGUCUCUCAAAUGAAUAGAUAUCUAUUACUCCUCCCAGUAUCAUGAUCACUUAAUACAAAACUCGUUCUUUCAGGUUCAGAAGCAAUGUUUGCUGAUCUUGGACACUUCUCCCAGUUGUCAAUUAAGGUAUGUGUCCAUCCAUCCUGAUGCGUGUCCUCUUUAUCCAUCGUAAAGACUUGAUGUAGCUCGUCAACUUUCAUAAAUGAUGAUUUUCAGAGAACAAAAGUUUGAAUUUACUAACUAGGGAUUGUAAAUCCACAAUUUGUUGUAUGGAUGAAGAGUAAAAGUGAGAGAGUGACAGCAAAGUAUACAUCAGGAAAACUGAAAGAUCAGUACUGUUAAAUACAAAAGGCAUGAAUCAUUAAUUAGGAAGAUUUUACGUAGAUGGUUUAAUUUCCCUUGUCUAAUACAAUCUUUUUUCCUAAUUGAAAGUGUGGAAGAGAUUUCUCUUCAGGAAGAAAACAUUUCUGAUUGGUCUCCAUACAAAGGCAUCAAUCUUGCAUGAUUGUUAGAACUUGAUCAUGAUAUCUUAUUCAAAUGUCAAAAGUAGUUACAAAUAACUGUGAAUUGUGAUAAUAUAAAUGAUCUGUAACUGUUAUAGUCAAUCAAAUGGUUAGCAGCAAUCUUAGGUGAUUAAUUUAUUCGAAAACACGCAGUUUCCACAAAAGAGAAUCUUUGAGAAGCCUUUGUUUUCAAUCGCUGAACUUAUCUAUUUAAUUUCCGCAGGGAUCAAUGCUAGUUCUGCUGAAAUGCUUACAACUGCUUCCCAUGUUGAUAUCAGUUGACAUUAGUUUGCCUUAUUGUCUCAGGAUCCCUUCGGUUUACUUUUAUUCCAGAUUGUUAUAGAUGUACCAUAAUCACUUGUAUCACCAGUGAUGUGUUUACAAUUUGAUGACACUAUAAGGGAAAAUGAUAUUGAAAUAGAGACAUGAAUGAAUACAGUUUGAAGAUAGAUUUCUUAAAUACUGGAUUUUGAAGGUUCUCCUUUUUGUUCUAGAAAAAGUGAAAACCAAAACCUAGUCGCUUGUGUGAAUUGUACAGAUUCGUACAGUUCGUAUCACCAUGAGACUGUACAAUUGUAUAUAAGACUAGUUCCAUUUUGCAGAUUGCUUUUACCUCCUUGGUUUAUCCAUCAUUAGUUCUUGCAUAUAUGGGGCAAGCUGCUUAUCUGUCACGGCAUCAUGUUAUGGAGAAUGACUAUCAGAUUGGCUUCUAUGUUUCUGUACCUGGUAUGUAUUUUAGUUGUUACUUUUACUAGGACAGGAGAAUAUAGGCAAAUUCUUGAUUGACAUGUUCCUCUUUUGUUUCAGACAAACUAAGAUGGCCUGUUCUAGUGAUUGCUGUACUGGCUGCAGUAGUGGCGAGCCAAGCCGCUAUCACCGGAACCUUCUCAAUUAUUAAACAAUGCUGCGCCCUGGGAUGCUUCCCAAGAGUCAAAAUAGUUCAUACGUCGUCAAAAAUACAUGGCCAGGUUUACAUCCCUGAGAUUAACUGGACCUUAAUGAUACUAUGCUUGGCUGUUACUAUUGGUUUCAGAGACACAAAAAGGCUGGGCAAUGCUGCAGGUAUGGAUUCAAUCUUACACAAAAUACAAGAAUAAUUUACUCAUACUCAAAAAGCAAAGGAAGAUUUUGUCUAGUGCCGAUCACUUUAUCUUUGUAGAAUUUAGUGGCAGUUUUAAUAUGCCACUUCAGUGAAUUGGAUUAUGUCAUUACUAGAUCUACUUUAUUAAAUUAGGGUCUUUCUGUCCAGUUGCAGGUAGUCUGCAUCUUCACGGACAUGUCUAUUUCACCGAGCCUCUCUUUCCCAUCCCUGUUAUGAUUUCUGUACUAGUUACCAUCCUAUAACUUACUUCAACCUCCCCCCCUCCUUCCCCGGUGCAUGGACCCAAGUUCUCAUAUUUCAUUUUGCUGUAUUUUCUCAAUUUCUCAUGCUUAAAUACUCGUCUUUUCCUUUUUAAUAUUCAUUUUGUCCUUGUUUACACAAUGGACAAAAUGAUAUUAGCGAAGACACAUCACUUAACAAGCCCAUGAUGAAUGAACUUCUUUACUAAUUCAUCCCUAUUUAUUUUUUUGCAUCAGGUUUGGCAGUAAUAACUGUAAUGUUGGUGACCACUUGCUUGAUGUCAUUGGUUAUUGUUUUGUGUUGGCACCAAAAUGUCCUCCUUGCAGUUUGCUUUGUGAUCUUCUUUGGGACAAUCGAGGCUUUAUAUUUCUCUGCUUCUUUAAUUAGAUUUUUUGAAGGAGCAUGGGUGCCUAUUGCCAUUUCUUUAGUUUUCAUGAUAGUGAUGUGCAUUUGGCACUAUGGCUCACUGAAAAAGUACGAGUUUGAUGUUCAAAAUAAGGUGUCUAUCGACUGGCUACUCAGUGUAGGUCCCAGCCUAGGUAUUGUAAGGGUGCGUGGCAUUGGCCUCAUAUACACUGAGCUGGUAUCCGGAAUCCCAGCGAUCUUCCCUCACUUUGUUACCAAUUUUCCAGCUUUUCACCAGGUCCUGGUAUUCAUUUGUGUCAAAUCUGUCCCAAUUCCUCAUGUUAGACAUGAGGAACGGUUCCUUGUCGGACACAUUGGCCCAAGAGAGCACCACCUUUAUAGAUGCAUUGUUAGAUAUGGUUAUCGUGAUGCUCGUAAGGAUGAUCUCCAGUUUGAGAAUGAUCUUGUAUGUAGCAUAGCUGAGUUUAUAAGGACAGGAAAGAGAGGGUUGAAUGGUAAUGCUGCUGAAGAUUUAACAAAGGAUUUGGAGGACAUGACUGUUCUUGGAACCCCUAAUACUCAUAUAUCUGGAGUUCAGCUUUAUGAGGACAAUGAACUGAAUUCAGAAUCAGUUGGAACGUCCAAACUUAGAGAAAUGCACACUACACAUAAAACCAAGCCUAAGAAAAGAGUGAGGUUUUUCAUACCAGAAAGUCCAAAAAUUGAGAGAAAUGCAAGAGAGGAGUUGCGCGAACUGAUGGAAGCUAGUGAAGCUGGCAUAGCUUACAUAUUGGGGCAUUCCUACGUCCGCGCCAAGCAAGGAUCUAGCUUCUUAAAGAGAAUAGUCAUAAAUUUUGGAUAUGACUUCUUGACAAGGAGUAGUAGACCCCCAUGCUAUGCAUUAACUGUACCUCAUGCUUCUACCAUAGAGGUAGGAAUGGUGUAUCAUGUAUAGAUUUUGUGUAUACAAGAGAAACAAAUAACAAUAAUCUCUACAUGUGUUUGUACUUUCUUCUCUAAGAAUACAAGACAAGUGCUAACAGUUAGCUUGAGUGAGAUUUGAAAAUGAGAAAUAUCUUCGUAAAAGCUCUCUAGUCCUGAUACCUUAUGAGUACUUUAAUUUCUAACUGGAUAAUCAACUCUGGCAUUAAGGACCCGUUAGGUCGGCGGUAUUAAUUAGUCUAGUUUAUGGAUUAAAAUUUAGUCUAUUUAAUUCAUAGUUUGGUUAUUUUAUUUAACUUAAUCCAUGAAUUAGUUAUGCAGCAUAUGUGGUCUUAUUUUAUUCCCAGAAAAUGAGGGACAACUAAUCCAAGGUUUAAUAAUUCUUGGAUAAGACCUCUAAAUGACUAAACUAUCCUCCUAUUCAUUUUCCUAAAUUUCUUUUGUAAUUUGAUUUCUUUAUUAUUUAUAUUGGAAUGGUUAUAAAUAUUCUUUUUAAUUCUCUAAAUCCAUUUAGUGUAAUUUGAUGAUUUCACUAAUAUAAUUUUUUCUCCUUUUUUUAUUCAAUGUAAUUAAUCACUUGAAUUAUUUGUCUUUUUUUUUAAAAAAAAAUAAGCUUUAGGUAUUUACAAUUUAAGUAGCCUUAAAUCUAUGUUAAGUUUGAGAUAUAUUUGACCAACAUAAAACUAAAAAUACAACGUGCUAUCAAGAAUUUCCGUAGUGGUACAUCACACCUCAAAAUUAGUAACAUUAUAUAUGUGUGUGUAUGCGUGUGUGUUUUAACUUAACUAGUUAAAUGAAAUAAAGAAUUCCAUUUUUUUUUAAAUAUUGUCCAAUGGUUAUCUACCUUGACCCAAUUACAUGAAUAGGAAGCUUUUUGUAGAGUUUUAAGAGCCUGUUUGACAUUGCUUUUGGGAGCUGGGAAGCACUUAUUUUGAGAAAAAAAACACUUUUUUGAAAAAAAUAGGUGUUUGGCAAACUUGUAAAACUGCUUUUAAAUAGAAGUAGAAACAGUUUUUCUGUUGUUGGGAAGAAGCUAAAAAUUUCUGCUUUUUAAAAAGAUAAAAUGACCUGGGAGGUCCUUGUAUUUUGUUCCGUUUGUCAGUUAGAUCCUUAUACUUAUGACUUUGUCAACUGAACUCUUAAACUCAUUGAAACAUGAUAUUUUAAACCCUUUUCUCAUUUGAUAUGUGUGUGUAGCACAAUCAUUUACAUGUGAAAUGCCAUGUCAAUUUGUAGGUCAUUUUCAAUGACAUAUAAGGAAUUAAAUAUUUUUUAAAAAAUAAAAAAUAUUCUGAAAAUUUUCAUUAUUAUGUUCUUCAAUAUUUUCUCACAAAUCACAAAUGAGGACUAAAUUUAUGCCAAACAGGUGUGAUUAUUCCUAUUGACUUGAAUUUUUACACUAAAAAUUCACAAAACACAAACCCAAUAACAUUCCAUCAUAAUUUUAAAUUAAUUUCAUAAAUUAACAAAAUCCAUUUGUUGUUCUUCAAGCCUAUUCAUGAAAAUUUUCAAUUUAUCAAUAUCCAUCAUCAUCCUUCACAUUAUCUCAUACAAAAUUAGAAAAAUACUUACAAAAUCAAAGUUUUGGAAAUGAAAAUCUGGCAGAAGAGCUUAGGCGGUAUGAUUUGCAGUAAAGAGCAAAAUUUUAAGGAAGCAGUUAGAAAUGGGUUUUGUUAGGUGGGGUGGUGUCACGACCCGAUUUCUCAAGUCAUGAUGGCACCUACUAUAACCCACCAGUAGGUAAGCCAACCCGUAACCCGGAACAACACGUAAUGGGUCUGAGGGUAGAAAAUAAACAAGAGUAGGCAAAUAACAAUAUACACAAGCGGAAGCAAACCAAAACAUAAAUACAAAUAAAGAUCCCUCCCAGAACCUGGAAGUCACUAGUACAGAGCUACUAACAAAAUGAGUACAAGUCCCAAAACUGGACAACUGAGACUGGACUGUCUCGAAAGGUAAAAGAUAAGUCUAUAUAUACAGAUGGAGACUGAAAUAGUACAAAACGUCGUGUGCUCACUCCCGUCUCCGGAUCAGUCUGCUCCAAGCUCGAUCAACGCUGGCUACUAGUGCCCGGACCUGCAUCACGAAAUAGAUGCAGAGCGUAGCAUGAGUACCAAAACAACCGGUACCCAGUAGGCAUCAUAGGCCGACUGAACUUGAAAAGUAAAGGCAAUAUGAAAAGAAGGAAUAACACAAACCGAAGUCAAGAACUAAAAUCCAACUAACAAGGGAAUGCACACGAGUGUACAAAGAACUAACUAAAGUAAUCUAUAAGCUAACUACACCUAACUGGGCCCCCAUAAGCCCAGAAGGUACACUCGUGCGCAAGUUAAAUAAAAACCCAAACGGACCCCCAUAAGCACGACGAGUACACAAAAUAACUAUAACUAAAGAGAAUUGCAUAAAAGAACCCAAGAACGAAGAACACGAAUCAGAACCUCAACCCUAAUUAGUAAAAUCUGACAGUACGGAGGCCGGACCUCGAACCGGAUGCUCACCAAAAGUACCUAAGUAACCAAUCACAAGUAACAAGUAUAAGAGGCCGGAACUCUAACCGGAUGCUCUAUAUAGGUAUCUGAGCAAUAGAGGCCGGACCUUAAACCGGAUGCUCUAUAUAAGUAUCUGGGAAAUAGAGGCCGAACCUUAAACCGGAUGCUCUAUAUAAGUAUCUGGGAAAUAGAGGCCGAACCUUAAACCGGAUGCUCUAUAUAAGUAUCUGGGAAAUAGAGGCCGAACCUUAAACCGGAUGCUCUAUAUAAGUAUCUGGGAAAUAGAGGCCGAACCUUAAACCGGAUGCUCUAUAUAAGUAUCUGGGAAAUAGAGGCCGAACCUUAAACCGGAUGCUCUAUAUAAGUAUCUGGGCGAUAGAGGCCGGACCUUAAACCGGAUGCUCUAUAUAAGUAUCUGGGCGAUAGAGGCCGGACCUUAAACCGGAUGCUCUAUAUAAGUAUCUGGAGGGUCCAUUAAUAACACAAAGCAUGCUCACAGUUACCCGAUAAUUCUCGAAAUAGGCCGAAAACAUGAUUUCUAAUCACCUAUGCAUGAUUCAAUAACUACCCAACCCAAAUCCCAACUAAUCAACAUGCAUUCACAUUCUCGAGCUCAAUCUAAGAGAGGGAAACCGUAGCCUACCUGUAGGCCAAUCACACGCGCUCCAAAAUCACUUCUCCGGAGCUUUCCCUUUCCGAACGUCCUCGAAACGCUGCCCCGCUAUCAAAAAUAGGAUCACAACGUUAUUACAGUCGUUUAGACACCAAAAUCACAACAAACGGAGACGGGUUAGUUUUGGAGUCAAAACGGGAAUCGUGGGACCCGCGCUGGAAAUUCUGAAAUUAACCCCACAAGUGGGUCCUAACAAGUUUCCCCAGCUCAUAUCCCAAAAUGGGACACAAUUCGGGGAUCGGGAACAACACACUACCAACAAACAACCAAAGCCCAAAUUUUCUCAAAAAUUAGAAAUGGACAACAGUUGAAUCAGUGUAUUUACCAGAAACUGGAGGUCUACAGUAAAAUGCGACAACACCACGACGUUCUCCUCGAAAAUCACUCAAGAUAGCCUAAAAAAUCACUGAAAUCGGACCUAAAAUGGCUGAGAAAACAAGUCUCAAAAUUUUCCAAAAUUAAGCUCACAAAAAGGGUGCAGCAGCAGGUAUUUGACAAAAAUUACCUCAAACGGGGACUCCAAAUCACUAUCCGAACUCACCAACACGUUGUCCUCGCAAAAUCUCACAACUUUACCUUUUGAAUCGCCCAAAUCGGUUGAGAGAUGAGAGAGUUAUGAGGGUUUGAAGUUUUGGAAAAUAUGUUGCUGUUUUUCUGCAUUUAUUGCAGAAAAUCUGCAAUUUCCCAAAAACUAAAAACUCCGACGGGGUUCUCCGAACUCAAUCGGAACCCCGUACACGCAAACGAGAUAUGCAAUCAUACCAUAUUCGAUAUUCCAGACUCAACGACGUAGUCAAAGUUUCCAUCAGAGGUCAUUUCGAUAAAAAGUGGGUCCCACUUCCAAAAGCCAUUUUAAGUCAAAACCCACAAAAUGGUUCGGAAAGAUAUCGAAAACCUCCAGACACAAAAGAAGGGUCAAUCUAGACCAAACUCGACAUUUUGGAGCUAACCACGCUGACGAAAUUCUCAUCUGAGCGCGUUUACUCAAAAUGUUGACCAAAGUCAAACUUAGGUUAAAUUUCAAAGGCUAAAACGCUUAAUCGCACCGACUCACACUGAAAACCUCGGGAGUCAUGUCGACCAUGCUACUAGCCUAAAAUGGCCCUUCCGGAGCUGAUGGAAUCGUCAGAAUUGGAUUCUAAUGUCAUCUUCUUGAACUUUUGAUCGAAAAUGAUUAUUCAAGGUUCAUAAGCACCAAAACACAAAAACUCGCACCAAGACCAAACGAACGACCAGGUGACCGAACUGUCAGUCCCAGCAAGUCAUAAAUGACUUGGGGUCGCUAUAGGAACGCUCUAAACGACACACAGAAGGCAAGACACAGAAAUGACCAUGAGGGUCAUUACAGGUGGGGUGGAGGGCUGACAUUAAGCCGAAGAAGAAGAAGUAGGUGGUGGUGGUGUUGGUUCCACAGAAUAAGGAGAAGGGUGGGCUGAAUGGUUUGGGAAGAAGAAAGUUGAGGGGGGUGGGGGUGGAGAGCUGGGAAAAGAGAGAAUUUUAAAGAAAGUUUUUUUCUCUUUUUUGUUUAAUUGUUUUUAAAAUAUUUUUAAUAUAAAAUAUUAUGUUCACUUGUUUUAAGAUGCGUGCAAUCACUUUUUUUUCAAAUCAGCAAUAUUAAUGUCACAUAAACUUGGUCAAUGGUUAGAGGUGCUUAAAAUAUUGUGUUUCAAUGAAUAUAAGGGUUCAGUUGGCAAAGUCGUGAGUAUAAGGGUCCAACUUACAAACAGAGUCAAGUACAAGGGCCUCCCAGGUCAUUCUGCCUUUUAAAAAAACAGAAGAAGAAAAUUAUUUUUUCAAGACUAUUCCAUAUACAUAUAUUUACUUAUAUAUGUCUCAUUAAUUAAUUAGCAUAUCUCAUAUGUUUGAUUAAGUUCUAUUCAAUGAUUUUAUUUUUUAUUUUUACAUAAUAAAUUUUUUAUUUUAUUUUACGUUUACGAAUUAUUAUUUUAUCUCUUAUAUUACGUAUUAUUUUACAGAAUUAGAAAACAAGAAGAAGGUAACAACAUAUUUUUGUAAGAUUAGAAAAAAAGAAAAAAAAACAAUUAAAGAUUUUAACCCUUCAAAAACUGUAUAAUAUUGAUUGAAAAUUUGAAUAUGAACAUUUUUAUUUGAUAAAAAUAAAAAAUUAAUUUAACUUUUUGUAAUAGAUGUUUAAACUAGUUUCUCUUUAUAAAAUAAUCUUAAUAUUAAAAGUACAUUAAUACUUUCCCUUAAUCAUAAUUUGACUCUCAAAAACACUUUUUAAAAAAGUUUAGUCAAAUACAAUUUGUUUAUAAAAAGCACUUUUCAAAUGAAUUAGUGAAACACAAAUUGCUUUUUUCCAAAAGCAAUUUUCUGAAAAGCUAUUUUAAAGAAGUGUUUAUGAAAAUAAACAGUUUUUAGCAUCAAUCUCAAACAGACUCUAAAUCAAUCUCAAGAUUAAUUGGAAAGUAAUGAACUAAAAACUUGAUAAAAGAUAAUCCUUGCAUUGUUAAUCCCUAAAUUACUAAUACACUCGUUACUAAAUGUGUUGUUUAAUCUUGCUUUAUUUAGCAAGAUCAGUUUUUCAACAGAAAAAAGGUAAAAAAAAAUGUCCUAAAAUUAUUUAAAAAUUAAAUAAAAAUGUUGUUUGGUCAAAAUAUUUUUGUUGUCAGUUGUUUGAUCUAAAAAUACUUAUGCUAUUACUUAACUGGAUUAAAAAAGUCCUUUUUCUAAAUAACUAUAUUGUCUUUUUAUUUCUAAACACGUUUCUUUCCUGGUAAAUAUUAUUUUUAAAGAUAAUUUUUUUCCUAAUAAAAUAGAAAAUAUUUUUGUUUCUUAAUGUUUUUUUUCAGAUUGAAGUAUGGAUAAAUGUUUGUCAAUAUAAUCCUUGAUUUUAAAAAUAAAAUGAAAAAAUUCUAAUUAACUUUAAAAUCAAGGAUCAUAUUAGGAAAUACUUGUCUACUUCAAUUCAGAAAAGAUUAAGAAAUAAAAAUAUUUUUUAUUUUACUAGAUUUUUUUUAUUGUUAUCUAUAUGAAAAUUGAUGGAGUUACAAUGAUCUUAACUAUAUAUAUUGCCUACAUUAUCAGUUAAAAAAAUACAUAAGGUUAUUUUAUUUUAAUUAAUAAAAUGAGAUUAAAAAGAAUAAAUACAAGGAAGAAUUUUCUACCUAUAAAUACUUAUACAUUAUCAGUUCUACCUCAUUAUAUCUUGUAAUUCAUGUAACCUUCAAGGUAUAGUUCUUUCAUUUAUUUACCUAUAUAAUUAUUACCCAUACAAUACAAGGAAGAAUUUUCUACCUAUAAAUACUGGCCGUCUUACUUUGUGUUGGGUAAAAGAGAAAAAUAUGAGAAGUAUUACAUUGUAUUGUAUUUAUAUUUUGAGGUUAGUGUGGUGAAAAAGUGAGAGUUGAGAUAAAGAAAAACAUUUGAAGUAUUCAACUAAUUACUAUACAAAAGAGAACUUUAUAUUGAAGGAAAGUAUUCUUUUUGUGGAGGUUUGUACUGGUCAACUAAUUCGAAGUUGAUUGAGUUAUACAAUGUUGUUGUAUCGUGGAGGAGAUAAGUCACGAAUAAUACUGCUGAAUCAGUAUAGAUUAUGCCGUCACAGGCUUGAAUCUUUUUAAAGAGAGCGAAAUAUCCACCCCUCAGCGUGAAUAUGUUUUUAUAUUUAUUUUAUUUUCAAAUACUAAUUAAUUGUAAUUAUGAUAUAUAUAUAUACACCAACACAAGAUGCCCAUUCCACUGUAUCCCAUGGCGUUUGGCCCAAAUGACCCACAAUUUAUCUUUUUUUCAUGUUCAGGUUUCAGAAGUGUUUUAAAAUAACAACUUUAUUCUAGAUGUAUAUAUCAAUUAUGUUAAGUACACUAGGUGACUUUGGCCAACAUAAUUUAUCCCUCGUGCUAAUAAUGAUUUUUGACAUCGUCCAAAUAACAUUCUUAAAUGAAAAUAAAACAAUUAUUAUUAAAAUAUAGUAAUCCAGGGAUCGAAUUUCACAGAGAGUGCGGUGAGAGACUUAUAAUUUGCGAAUGAAAUUUAGUCUAACGUCUAUUAUUUUUGUUGGGGUAUUAAAUGAGAAAUUAUUAACUAGGUUUUACUACUAUGCUUGUUAUCAAGAAUUUAAGACAAACAAAAGUUUGGGUUCUUGGAUAUAUCAGAAUUCAAACAAGCAAUUUAUCAUCAACUCAUCAGGUAUGCUCAUUAUGCAAAAUUAACGAAUCUAUUAGUCUUCUAAAGCUUUUCGGCCCAAUCAAGAGAACUUCACUUUGAAUUCUCGUCGUCACUUGGAUGUCGAAUUAAUUUGUUCAUCAUCAUAUGCCUCAGAUUAACUAUCUUAUCUCUAACUCAAGCUAUUAGAUGGGAAUUGAUAGCCCCAAAUCUCCGUUACUAAUUAUUUUUCUUAAUCUUAACUUCUAGUUAGAAUAUAGGCGAGUUCCUAAUAUUUGCAAUCAUUAAAAAAGUAAGUAAUAUUUAUGAAGAAACCUUGAUGUACAAUAAUCACCCUUCAUGUGAAGAUUUUAUUAUAACGAAUCUAUUAUCCUUAUUCUUACUUUAAGUUCCAUAAAUCUAGUUAUGAGAUUUAGCAAGUUAUAACUAGUUGCAAAUAAUAAUUGUAAUAACUAAAGAACAUUAAGAUGAAAGAAACCUUGAUUAAUGUAGGUCUUGCAAAAGUAUCUUCUUCGUACCAAAAUAAUCUUCUAUGAAAACAAUAAGUAAACCUAAGAACAAUUGUAGAGUAGUUCAUAGCCAAAAGUGAUAAAAACUAUAUUCUAAUGAUAAUGUGUUCCCCACAAAACAUCGUCCUUAUAAUCUAUUUAUAAUUGUAGAACGAAACCUAAAUAUCAUUGGAACUAGGUUUUGCCUUUGCAAAUCUCCGAUCUGUAAAAUAAGGGUGUGCGACCAAUAUUCAAAAUAAGGGUGUGCGACCAAUAUUCAUCACAGGGCAGAAGGCCCGCGCACCGAGGCAAGUCUAUCUCAAAAAAAAAUUGAUCUCUAAAUCUCAUUCGAUUUGGUGGGUGUUGCUGAGGCCAAUGCGUGGUGCGUAUCCCAUGCAUCAUACUCCUUUUCUUCAGUCUGUUUGACUGUGUGGUUAUACGAAGAAAUAGGCUAUAAACACAAAGAGGCUUAACUAAGAAAACUGCUCAUGUAGGCAUGCAUCACAAUUAUACGGUCAAAAAAAGUAUGUUAAUUAAACAAGAAAUGUCUUGAACACAUCCAACAAUUUCAAUACCAAGUUCAAAUUUUCACACACACAUGACAAAUUCUAGAUGUCUAAUAUACACGAAUACACAAAUGCUUACCACACAUGACACAUUAAUAAUUUUGAACAUAACUACCUAAGGCUCCAAUCUUCAGAACAUAAUCACAUUAAGUGACAUUAUACUCUUUUGUAUGAAUGAAUUCCUAUGAGAUCUAGAAAUUUCUACUUUUUAGAGUACCUAGAUUUAACUAGUCAUGAGUUUCUUCAUUCUAAUGCAUCUAACAAACAUAAUCCUAAAAAAAUCUAGUUCGAAAAUAAAAACUAGCCGAUUCAAUGAGACUAUCCUAAGAAAACACCAAAAAUAAAAAUUGAGGAAUCUAAAAUAAGUAUAACAUAAAUACAACAAAAUCUAACAUUUAUCGACACAUGCAAUAUAUAGUUACAAUCCAAAAACCAUCCAAAUAGAAAUCCAAACUCAAAACACAACAAUAAAAUAGAUACAACUCGACAAUGAAGACAAUACAAGAUAAUGAGAGAGGAACAAACCAAUAUGACAUCUAAAAAAUGCAAUACAAGAUAAAUAUAUUCCUCUAUCCCACACUUAAAAUCAUGAGUUUCUCUAGUGAUAAAAAAAAUACAAAGUAAUAGUGGGAAAGAGAGAAUAGUGGCGGAGCCAUAAUUUUCAUCAAGGGUGUUCAUACUUUAGGACAAGUAAAAAGAUAAACUUUCCUGCUCGGGAUUUUCCAUCACUUUUGUUCUCUUUUUUAACUUAAAAUGCGGAACUAAUUUUUUUUAAAAUAAAACGUCCAAGGCUAGGGCUCAAACCCAAGCCUCCAAGGCAAAUUUGAACAACCUUAAUCACUAGACUAUCUUUCUUUACUAUGUCAAGGGUGUUCAACAAUUAGUAUAUAUCCAAAAAUAUUACUCCCUCCGUCCUAUUUUAUGUGAGAUAGUUUGACUUGGCACGAAGUUUAAGAAAGAAAAGAAGGCUUUUAAAACUUGUGGUCCAAAAUGAAUGAUAUAAUUUGUGUGGCUGUAAAUCAUUUCAUUAAAGGUAAAAUAUACAUUUUAUAGUUAAAUUGUUACUUAAUAUAUAAAUGUGUCAUUCUUGUUUAGACUGACUAAAGAGGAAAAUAAGUCACAUAAAUUGGGAGAGGGAAUAAUAUUUAACAUAUAUACUCGAAAUUUUUUUUGACGAAAAUUGUUCAUCUAACCAGGUGUAGCUCCGCCCCUGAGUGAGAGAGAAAGUAAAACUCCCUGGUCUAGUCGUACUUUGUAUCAGGGCCGAGCUCCCAACUUCCAACUCAGAGCCAUCCUCGUCCGCAUGUGCUAAUUUGAAAUUUGUGACAAUACCUACCUCACUUUGAAGACCAAACUUGAUUUCACACAUUCUUCAAGUGAUUUGUCAAAUCAGAUUCACAAGAACAAUCUACUAAGGCAGAUAUUAAAAAGGCAUACCAAGAUUUUCUUUCCCUUUCAUUCCUUUUGUAUAAACCCUCAAUAUGCUUUUUGUUUCUCUCCCAUAAUUAUUAUUACUAUCUAUACAACACAAAAUAAUUUUGGCUUUGUCCUCCCAUAACGCCAUCUGAAAAUUCCAAAUAGCCCUCACGGUAGAUUUCUCCUUUUGGAUGAACAAGGCGCUACGGGGUCGUUUGGUAGCUGCUUAGAGUUAUGCACGUAUUCGUAACGUAGGUAUUAUAUAAGAGUGAAUCUAUGUAUUAUUUUAUGCAUGUAUUAGUAAUGUAGGGAUUACUUAUGAGUGAACCUAUAUAUUAUAUUAUGCAGAUAUUAAUUAUGUAGGGAUUAGUUAUAUAUUCAUGUAUUAGUUAUUCUAUCUUCUAUCCCCGCAUAAAAUAAUACAUAGAUUUCCUCACAACUUCUACAUGUAUUGGUUAUGCAGGUUUCUAAAUUAUCUACCAAACAUUGUAUUAAUUUUAUACACGAAUAACUUACUUUCUAUCUACCUUUCAAACUUAUAUAUGUUAUACGGAAAUUAAUACAUGUACCACUUAUUUCUUAUUCAGCUACCAACAACCUAUGAAUCAAACCUUCUGUGAUAUAUAUAUAUAUAUAUAUAUAUAUAUAUAAUGGAUGUCUUUUGAUUCCAUUGGCUUAUUUGGUAAGAAAUUGCAGCAUGUGUUGCGGUUUUAAAUUGAGAAAUUGGCAAGAACAUAGAACACUCAAUAUAAUUGGCACAAAAUAGCCCAAAAGAAUUUGGCAAAAUAUGGCCUUAUAACAAUUGAUACAAAGUAGCCAGAAUGAUGUCUAAUUUGAAGGAUUGAUUUUUUAACCAACCGGUACUAAUUAAUUAAUAUAAUUAGCAUAUUGUCUCUAAUUAGCCUAUUAAAAAGGUUAUUGCUACUUUUAAGGAAGGAAAAAGAAAAGUAUCCCUUAAUUAACCCAUUAACACGAAAAGAAAAAUUUACAUGGAUGAGUAUCUUUUAAUAAAUAAUUACUGAUUUAGGAAUACUUUUUAUUUAUUACCAUUUAUAGCAAUACAAUAGCAAUACUAUAAUAAAUAUGUAAUAUGUAUUAAAAGUGAAUUGUCAUGACCCAAGCCUACAUCCUAGACGUGGCCGGCACUCGAGAACCAUUGUUGGCCCCCAAGCGAACCCUCAUCCUAGGUAACUAUAAGCGGAAGACUAACUCAAGCAUACAUAAGCAUCAAAUUGAAAGAAACGUUUAAAAACAAUUUACUGAACAUAGUAUGAAACAUAAGUUUUAAAUAAAAUAUUUGAAAUUGAGAGCUUCUCCAAAACUGUCUAUCUAUGAAGCAUAUACUAUACAAAGAUGAGUGUCGGGACAAGACUCACAACUACUCAAAAUGUUACUAAUACUAACAACUCACAAAACUGCUGUCUUCCGAAAGCAAGGAGGUCUAACUCAAAACCUGACGAGUAGAUGAAAGUGAUCUCAACGGGCUCUUGUUGAGGAUCUAAGUACAUGUAUCUACAUCAUUAAAAGAUGCAGGUCGAAUGACAUCAGUACAUUGAAUGUACAAUUAUGUAAUAUAGUUGAAUAACAAAUAACUGAAAGAAAGGACUGAAAUAGAUAACAAGACUCAAGCUAAAUGUAAAGGAAUAAAGUAGUUAAAUCAUUUAAAGCUUUACAAAAUACUUUCUCAUCUCCGAACUCAACAUAAUAAGUGAUAUAUAUAUAAAUACACUUUAACUGUAUCGAGAGAUUCUCUAAUCGACAACCAUCACUAUAAGCUACGUGAUGAUACAACGUCUCACCCACUCUGCCAGAAUUGUCAUAUACCUUGUUGGUGUAUAGAAAUCCUCAACUAAGUAGCCUCAACUAAGUGGAUCCACUAAGUUAUACUUAAAAAUCAAUAAGGAUUCAUCCAAAAAGUAUGACCCUUUACCCAUGUUGGCAGACAUGGUUUAUGGAGGUUGUGAGUUGUUUGAAGUCUCCCCAUAAUCGGUGCUCAAUACUACUCCCAAUAAUAUAUACUCAUGCUCAUAUGUUUAAAAACAUAAUUCUUCCUCUUGUUUGAGAUAAUUCCUCAAAGUACCCUCUUAAAAGAGGUAACUACUAUUAAAAUAUCUUUUGAACUCAUAACUCAUUUAGAAAUCUCAAUUUCUCUUUUAUCAAUGUAAAAAUUGAUACCUCUGAGAAUACAUAGUCCCCUUAUACUCUUAUUCAAUUCAUACUUGAAAACUCUGAACUCAAGUGUUGGCUUUAAAAAAAGUUUUUCAAAAUUCAUAACUCAAAAUAGUGUUCAUGUUGAAAUGUAGACAUGAACAAAUCAAAUCAAGAAUCUCAAUAACAAUAUAGAAACUCUAUAAUUAGGAAUGGAAUUUGUAAAAAAAACAUGAACUCAACAACUCAAAAUCAACUCAUCUCAAGAAUACUCAAAUCUAGGGAAAGAAUCCUAGAUUACUCUUUUACUGCUCUGAAAGUAGAUGUAGAGCAUGAGGACGAACUAGUCCAACACUAUGAUAGUCUUACAUACCUGAAAGAACAAUGUUCUUCAAGAAUCUUGAAGAAGAACUUUAUUUGAAGCCUUGAAACCCUAGCUCGAAGGAGAACAAUCAAUAAAACCUUUCUUGAGAUUCUUGAAUUAGUUUCUUGAAAUCUCUAUGACCAAGAAUUAUGAUUUUAAUUAGUGAUUCAUAAUUGUAUGGAGUAAUUUGAGUUGGAAAUAAUGAAAUUCUUGGAGAAGGACUUACCUUAAAGAAGAAUCUUGAAAAAGAUUGAAAAAAUCUUGAAUGGAAUCUUCUACUUUGAUAUUUCCUUAGGGUUUUACCCUAGGGUUUGAAAGAGAAGAGAACGAUAUAAAAGAUGAAAAUCUGAUUGUUUUGAGCCUUAUAUUAGUCAAGAAAUUCGUUUAGGAUUUUUUUUGGAGGUAAAAAGACAAAAAAACCCUUUUUAAUGUUUUCCCGUCGGCUAAUUCAAAACUGCACUACAUCAGUUACUAAAAUUGUCAUAACUUUUUACUCAAAAAUUAGAUUGAUGCGAAAUUGGUGGCAUUGUAAAGUAGAGUCAAAUACCUUUAAUUUUAUAUGUUAUGAGCCACGUAACUCUUUAUAUUCUAAGAGAUAUGGUCAUUUUAAGUUGACCCAAGGAGAAUCUUAAAUCAAAACUUAAUCGGUAAGGAAACUUUCAUCUCAACUUUGUGCUAAGAGUUUUUAGUGACCUUAAUUUAUAUCCAAAAUCAUUUCCAUACUAAAGAAUUUACCUUUACAAAUAUGAGAAAUUUAGGAAUAACUCGAUAAGACCUUAUGUGUAAAUAAAUAAUAGUUCGGGCCUUAGCUUAAAAAAAUUCAGGGUGUUACAAUAUCUCCCCUUUGGGAUUAUUCGUCAUCGAAUAACGGCAAAAUCACAAAUUACUUAACAAAAGGUGAUUAUUCUAAUUUAAAUCAGGAGAUUCGGGUUCUAUACCUCUAUGAGAAAUCUCAUCCCGAGAAUACUUCUCCCUAUAACUACAUUCAACCAACCUCGACUCUUAAUCAAGAACCACUUAGUGCAUCAUGCAUUCAUCCACAUGCUACCAACACCACAUUAAAGCCUAGUACUAUAACCACUCAUGGACUCCUAUUAACCAGUCCUUAUAAAAAUUUCUCAUUCUCUCGUCACUUCUACCAACAUAACUUUUAUGCAUCACUACCAGGAAUUUACUAAUUACUCAUCGUAAGACCUUAUCUCCUUCUUCCUCCAUAUUUAUAACCUUAUGUGGAAUAAACACACCAUCACUAUCACAAUAAGAAAUAACAAUCCUCUUCUCUAUCAUCACACAACUACAAUCAUCAACACCACUCUCAAAACUAAAAAGGAUUACUGAAAGUACUUUAGGGCGAAAGAUCAUAAGCACAAUUCAUUCGAGAAUUCUGAUAGAAGAAUAUGCAUGACAUAACAUUAUGUUGCUAGCCAUUGAGAGUAAUUCAUGGAUUUGUUAGACUGAACAUAUUGUGAGACAUGAUUGCUUAUAUGAAUAGGUUCAUAGCAUGAGACUGAUAUCCAUAGCUUUAUGGAGUAAGAUUGAGAUCAAUGGGCUAAAGUCUUUUCCCCUCAUUCUGAAAACUGAGCAUAGAUGUGAAUCUCUCUGGAGUGUAUGUGCAUAGGUCAUGAGCACAAUUCUGAUAUAAGAAACAUCUGCAUGAUGUUGAAAUGACUGAACUUUGAAGAAUAUGCUAGAGUAUGAAUGGAUUGAUGUACCUCUACAACUCUUUCGGAAGACAUAACUAUCUCAUUCUCAAUACUUGGCAUGAUUUUUCAUCUUAUCAUCUCCCCCUUAGGUCUAAAACUGACACUUGAAAAUAAUGAACCUAUUCUCUCAUCUUUAAACUGGUCUACAUUCCCUUUAAUACUCGAAAAGGCUUAUCUCAUAGCAACAAAACUCUCCAUAAGAAGGUACUAAGACUCUUUCUAAAACCUCUUUCGAAGAUGCUUCUAUUAACCUCUUCUUAUUGGCUUAUAAGGCCGUUUCAUUUAACUCUUAAGGAGAAAAAAAUUAAUGCUUACCUCAGCCUAUUCCACAUUGACAGCUCAAAUAUACUAUCUAGGCACACAUGAAAAAUUAUUAACUUAAUUGGAACAUCGUCUUUGGUUAUAUAAAGUCUCGGGUACACCUCUUAAUGCUCUUGUUACUCUUAUGACUUAGCUACAAUUCACUGCCAUCAUCUAAAAGUUAGGAUCUCUCACUUGUACCACUCAUAUUCAUUGCAGCUAACAUCUCAAUUCCUCACCUACUCGAUGUCAAGUCUACCAGAUCAUAUCUCAAUACUAACAUCAUCACCCUCAUGUUGUCAUUCUUUUGAUCACGACGCUCAUCUCAAAUUCAAGCUUAAUGUUUAUUACUAAAGGUGGAUAUCAAUAUGAUUACGCACUUACUAUACUAACUUACAACUACUAGAUAAAAAUUAAGAAUCAAUCGCUCACUAAGACCUUAUGACAAGUAGUCAAUUUAUAUCUCUCAGUCUGCAUCCUUACAUAUUACUGCCACAUUCCACUUCACAACUUAAGUACUAUUUACUCAUUCACUAUACAUCAUUGCCUAAUUAAUUCUAUAACACUUUGAAUAUUAUGGAAUCUCCCUAAAAAUCAUAAGCCUAGCUUAGUUCUAUAACCUCAUGAUAUUCCUUCUUUUCUAUCCAACACCUACACUUGGUCGUUACCAACAUAAUGACACAUUGAAAGAAACUAUUUUUUUGGUUAAAGUAUACUCUAAAUCAUCCAUACUAGUAACUCUUACUAUACCUUACCUUCUAUCAUGAAAUCUACACAAACUCAUCACUUCUUAGUCUACCCAUAAGGGAAAACUCCUCAUUAAUAACUUACAAGGUGCUUGACUACAAUAACAUAAUUUGUCUCAUCACUAUCUCCCUUUCUUAGAUUACUGAACCUCUGCAUGCAUUCUUCUAAUUUAAGGGCAUCUUCACUACUACUAUCAUAAUCUCGCAACCUACACUAUCUUUUCGAGUGAAAAUACUACUCAAGCUCUAAAACAUACUUCAUCAUAAGGGUCUCAGUUGAAACAAGGUUUAGAGAAAAAAGUCUAGCAAUACAUCUCGCUUUUAGCUUGAAUGCGUGAUUCAUAUGAAUAAGAGUGCAUUCUUUUGAAUCUCAACACUUAAACUCACUCACAAAAUUCUCUCAAGCCCCUCUGCAGUCUCAUGACUUUCUCAAGGUUUUUGCUAAGAGUUACUUAUCGAUAAGGAUCUGGCUUUGCUUUUCAACUACCUUAAGUAUGAGGGGUAGUCGAAUGGAUCUGAGAAACACACGAGUUUGAAUGAGUUCCUUAUGACAUAAUUCUAUUGCACAAUUUGGAGUAUGAAAGAAGGGAAACUUUUUUGAAAUAUUUGUACUCCCUUAUUUAUAGAAGUGGGGCCCUCACAACCAUAAAUAAGAUCCUACUUGACACACCUUCAUAGACACCUAGGAUACUUGAACUCUGUGCUCUAAUACAAAGUUUGUCAUGAUCUGAACCUACACCCUCGAUGUGGCCGGCACUCGAGAACCAUUGCGGGCCCCCAAUGGAACCCUCAUCUUGGCUGACUAUAAGUAAAAAACUAACUCAAGCAUGCAUAAGCAUCAAAUUGAAAGAAAUGUUUAAAAACAGUUUACUGAAUCUCAAAAUUUCACUGAAUAUACUGAGUAUGAAACAUAAGUUUUAAAUAAAAUAUCUAAAAUUAAGAGACUCUCCAAAACUUUUUAUCUAUGAAGCCUCUACUAUACAAAGAUGAGUGUCGGGACAAGACCCAAAACUACUCAAAAGGUUACUAAUACUAACAACUCAUAAAAUUGUUGUCCUCCGGGAGCAAGAGGUCUUACUCAAAAGCUGACGAGUAGAUGAAAGUGAUCUCAACGGGCUCUUGUUGAGGAUCUGAUCCUAAUAACCUCUAUCUGCAUCAUUAAAAGAUGCAGGUUGAAUGGCAUCAGUACAUUGAAUGUACGAGUAUGUAAUAUAGUUGAAUAACAAAUAACUUAAAUAAAGGACUGAAAUAAAUAACAAUGUACUCAAGCUGAAUGUAAAGAAAUAAAGGAGUUAAAUCAUUUAAAGAUUUACAAAAUACUUUCUCAUCUCUGAACUAAACAUAAUAAAUGAUAUAUAAAAAUACACUUUAACUCUAUUGGCGAUUCUCUAACCAACAACCAUCACUAUGAGCUACGUGAUGAUACAACGUCUCGCCCACGCUGCCAAAACUGUUCUAUACCUUGUCGGGGUAUAGAACUCCUCAACUAAGUGGAUCCACUAAGUUAUACUUAAAAAUCAAUAAGGAUUCAUCCAAAAAGUAUGACCCUUUACCCAUGUUGGCAUACAUGGUUUAUAGAGGCUGUGAGUUGUCUGAAGUCUCCCUAUAACCGGUGCUCAAUGCUACUCCCAAUAAUAUAUAUACUCAUGCUCAUAUGUUUAAAAACAUAACUCUUCCUCUGNNNNNNNNNNNNNNNNNNNNNNNNNNNNNNNNNNNNNNNNNNNNNNNNNNNNNNNNNNNNNNNNNNNNNNNNNNNNNNNNNNNNNNNNNNNNNNNNNNNNNNNNNNNNNNNNNNNNNNNNNNNNNNNNNNNNNNNNNNNNNNNNNNNNNNNNNNNNNNNNNNNNNNNNNNNNNNNNNNNNNNNNNNNNNNNNNNNNNNNNNNNNNNNNNNNNNNNNNNNNNNNNNNNNNNNNNNNNNNNNNNNNNNNNNNNNNNNNNNNNNNNNNNNNNNNNNNNNNNNNNNNNNNNNNNNNNNNNNNNNNNNNNNNNNNNNNNNNNNNNNNNNNNNNNNNNNNNNNNNNNNNNNNNNNNNNNNNNNNNNNNNNNNNNNNNNNNNNNNNNNNNNNNNNNNNNNNNNNNNNNNNNNNNNNNNNNNNNNAUUGGUUCUCGAGUGUCGGUCACGUCCAGAGUGUAGGCUCGGGUCGUGACAAAUUAGUCCAACACUAUGAUAGCUUUACAUACCUCGAACAACCAGGUUCUUGAAGAAUCUUGAAGAAGAACUUGAUUAGAAGCCUUGAAACCCUAGCUUGAAGGUAAACAAUCAAGAAAACGUUUCUUGAGAUUCUUGAAUUAGUUUAUUGAAAUAUCUAUGACCAAGAAUUAUGAUUUUCAUUAGUGAUUCAUAAUUGUAUGAAAGAAUUUGAGUUGGAAAGAAUGAAAUUCUUGGAGAAGGACUUGCUUUGAAGAAGAAUCUUGAAAAAUAUUGAAAGAAUCUUAAAAAAUUUGAAAGAAUCUUGAUUGGAGUCUUCUACUUUGAUUUUUCCUUAGGGUUUGAGAGAGAAGAGUGUUGACACCCAAAUUUGGACCUCCACAAUAUAGAUUAAUCACCGAACUUCUUAAAUUCUAAACGAUUUGAAAUAAUUAGUUUUUAUAAAGUUUAAAAUAUUUUUCAAGUUACUUUUAAUAAAUUUUAUCUUUUUUAUAAUUUUUAAGUAGCAUAUAUGUUUUAUAUAAUUUUGUAUAUAAUUAGUAUAUUUUAUAUGCAUUCGAAACCCAUCUCAAAAAAGAUUUAAUUUUAGUAAGUAUUUUAUUAAAUUAGGGGAUAAGGGUUUGAAAAAUACCCCAACUUUGGUCGGAUUAGUUGUUGCGAUACUAAAAUUUAAUGAGGACCUAUUACCUCCCUAGACUAUUUAAUAUCGUAUUUUAAACAUAUAUUUGCCCACGUGGACAUAAAAAAUAAUGCAAAAUUAUAAAUAGUAAUGUGUCCACGUGAACAUAUAUAUACCUUUAAAAUACACUAUUAAAUAGUUCAGGGGGUAAAAAAUACGGUAUUAAAUAGUCUAGAGAGGUAAUAGGUCCUUAUGAAAGUUUAGUAUCGCAACAGCAAAUCCGACCAAAGUUGGGGUAUUUUUCAGUCCUUUAUCCCUUAAAUUAGUUUAGUUUAAAUUAUGGUUAUAAUUUUGAAUCAUUAGUUUACAAUUAAGUUAAUUAUUUUUAUUUCGUUAAUAUUAAGAAGCUCGUUAAUUAAUUAAUAUUAAUUCAUCUUAUUUAGGAUUUAACCGAAUUUGUUAAUUUAACUCAAUUCAACUAUUUCUUAAACUCCAAGAUCCAACCUUUUUCCCUACCCUCACCUUAAACCCAUCAAAAUACCAAUUUUGGGCCAAUUUAAAUUAGGCCCAUUAUUCAGCAACCCAAUUCCUUCAAUUCAAUUUCUAACCCAAACCCAUCAGAAAUACCCAACCCAAUACAAUACCAAUACAAUUCAUACAGCAAUCCAAACGUACAUACAAUACAAUAGUAAAGAGCAAGACCCCACAAACAAUUCUUUACAACGUUAACAACAACUUCCAAACGUCAACGGCAACAACCCACAAUCACACGACGUCAAAAUUCACGGAGAACACGGCAAACACACGGCGUGAGAGCAGAUCGCGUACUCAGUACUAUUUUCUCGUCGUCUUCCUCGCUCCCUCGACAAUCCGUACGUGAACAGUGCCAGGUGGAGUGAUCUCAUCACCUCUCUCGUCCUAGCGUCGAAAUCAAAUGGCUCAUGUUGCUUAGCCGUUGCAAUUUGUUACAAAUUGGUGAAUUUUCGUACUGUUUUAUUCCUUAUCCUUUAAGGAUUUUGAAUUUUGAAUUUGGAAUUUGGAAUUUGGAAUUGGCCCAAUUUCCAUUCUGUUUUCCCCCUCAUUUCGAACCCUGGUUUCCCCGUAUAAAUUCCCCCUCUUUUUCAUUUGUUUGGGGUUGGGGAAAAGUUGGGAAAAAAGUGGAAAAAAAUAGACGUUGGAGAGGCAGAAAAUAUACAGAGAGAAAUGGAGUCGAUAUAAGUGAAAGGACACAUAGAAAUGCAUAGUCUUUGAGAGAAAAUAGACUCUAAAAUCAACAAAUAUUAUAAAGAGUAUUCAGUUUUCAGCUUCUUCUAUCGAACACGACUUUCCCGCUGCUCGUUGGAACUUUUGAAGUUUGUGACUGGUGAUGGAAGAGCUCGUCCUUGCUCAUUCAAUCUCGGUUCUGCUGCCCGAAAGAAAGUAAUGCUUUCUCCUUUAUAAGAUUCUCCUCACCUUUUUUUUCUCUGUCUCAAAAUGAUAUAUUCGAUAUCGUAAAAGCCUUGUGAUGUAGCUGAUUUAGUGUUAUUUUGGUAUGGUGUAUUUGUUCUUAAUCUAUUUCAGUGAUUCGACCCUAAGGUCGAGUUAACCCCAUUUUAUAUAUUUAUCAUUGUUGCUUCCCUACUUAAAUGUUGGAAUUGUCGUGGCUAUUUUGCUUUGUGUGCACUCAUUUUGAUGUUGUCGAAUCUGCAUUUUCUUGUUUUAGUUGUCUCUUAGCGUUAAGAAGCUCUUUCAUCUUGCUACUGCAAUGUUGAUUCAGAAUCUCGAAGAUGGUUAAUAUAGAGAUUGAAUGUUGUUGUAUCUAUUGUCCAUUAGAUACAACAACUCGUUCUACUCUUUUUCAGUUUUUGUGAUUGUCCUGUUCGUUAGCAUAUUUUGUUUGAGUUGGCUCUCAUCUUCAUGCUAUUUAAAGUUUCUUAUAUCAAAAGUCGAUCGCGUUUUAUGAUAAGUGUGACUUUUGCUGCUUCUAAGUAAAGGGUCAAAUCCAAUCCUUUUGUAUCCGUGGUUUGUUGUUUUGGCAUGAUAUUAUCUUAAUCACCAGUCCAAGUUCAUUUUCUGUAUCGAUCAGUUUAGAUUUUUCUGUUGUGGGUAUUCGUUUAAAAUUUGUUCAAUGACUGACCCGCCUGAACUUGUUUAUUUGAUUGGAAUUAGUCUGUUAUGUUUAGAAAGUUAUCCAUGAAAAGUUAAGUUUGGUUAGCAUUUUGUCUUCUCUGCUUACUGUAAUGGUUUCCUAACCCCCUUUCUUAUCCUUACAAGCUUGAUCUAAAUGCUUUUAAUAUUAAAAUAUGCACAGAGUGUUGCUUUGCUCAUUUCUCUGCCUUAUUUGGGUUAAUAUUUUGGUUAAGAAUGAAUCACUGUUUGUAAUUGCAUCAGCAUGGAAUCCAAGUUUCUGGUUUUCUUCUUCUAGAUUUUAGUUUGUUAGAGUUUCAUCUUUGAAAAUUAGUUGAAGCAUGUUUCCUUUUGAUAUCAAUCUCAAUGUAUAAUACGAUAGCCUCUUGACUACCUGUAAGAGCUUCUAGUGACUCAUUUAAUUGUUUCCCUAUCUUUAUCUUUGUCUAGAUAAUUAGGCAUAAGCCCUUUAUUCAUUUUAACAUUGCUAAUCCAAUUGCUUAUCUGUAAUCAUCAUUUUCGUAUUUUAUCUUAUCAUAUGGGGAGUUAGUUUAAUUCUAAGAGAAGGAUUCUUUAAAUAUUAUAUGUUUUCCUUGGUCACCUUUGCAUAAUUUGACCGUGAACUAGUCACAUGCAUAUUUGCCUUAUUUCAUUUUUGUGUGUCUUAGUGGUAGUAUAUAGAUUUAAGGUGUGCUCUAUUUCUAAUUUACAUUCCUGCUUUGUUCUUUUCUAUGCAUGAAUCGGCUCCUCCCGAGUCUUUGGAGACCCUUUUUCCUUGCAUUUUUUAGUAUCGAGUCAUCAUUUGGUGUUUGAGGGUGAAAGGGAAACUGAUAUAUAGGUUCCUGAAGCAGGCAGGUCCUGAAAACAGGUUGAUAUACAACUAUUAUACACUGAUAUACGAGUUGAGUGCAGCGUAUAUAGGCCCUAAACCGAUUUAUAGGUGUUCAAAAGCUGAUUUAGGUUGUAUACAUUUGGAUACAACCCAAAUACACGAAAUUGGGUCGAAAUACAUGUCGUAUACAGCCGUAUGUGUUUGAUGUAUACACAGAUUUAAGUGUGAAAAAGGAGGCAAAAAUGGGCCCAAAAAGGUCCAAAAAAGUGGCCCAGCAACAGAAUUUUAAUUGAAUAGGUCCAAAAUCAUGUUGUGAAUUUUUAGAAUAUGACAGGUUCAACAGAUUUGGGGAAUUUGGGUCUUUGGCCCAAAUUCAAUAUUCCUUUCUUUGCUCUUAUUUAUUUGUUAUUGUAUUUGACUAACAUUUUAUUUGGACUACGGUUUGACUUAAUUAAUUUCCCAAAGAUAGUAAUUUCUCUUUUUAUAUAAAAAUUUAAAAUAUUUAUAUUUUAUACUUAGCUUUAUUUUAUAAUUAUUGGCCUUGCAAUUUGAAUUAUUUCCUUUAGAAUGGUCCCCCUUACUUUAUUUCCCCCUUAAAAAUAAUUAAUAAUAAAAAUUGAAUUUCCUUUACUUAGUUAAAAUUUAGAAAAGCUUAUUUAAAAAGUCAUUUUAGUCAAAUCGCCGGUCAACUGAAAGUUAGCGGACAUUCCGAGGGCCUAUCACCUUUUUGGAAUGUACAUUGAACUCGAACCCUUUUAAUUUCAAUUGAUUUUAAUCUGAUUUAAUCUUUUGAAAUAACCUUGAGUUUUUUUUCUUCUUGAUUUUUACUAAAAAAUUAAGUGGCGACUUUGUUUCUUUUGGAAAUUCAAUUUCUCUUAAAUCAUUAGUUUAAUCGAUUUUUCAAAAACGUAGUCAUUUUUAUUUUAUUUUUUGAGUAAGACUGAAAUGACGACUCUGCUGGGGACUUAAUUAAGUUCUAACCAUAAGAUUUGACUAUUUGACUAAUUGUUAUUAAUUACUGAAUUGUUUAUCUGUGCGUAAUGUGUUUAAAUUACUAUAACUGUCAUUGCAUUCAUGACAUUUUCCAACUUGUAUGUGUAGUAUAUUAAGGACGAUUUCUGCAUAAUCGCAGCCGAACUUUUUAUACUCGACCCUUUUCCGGAAGAAUCGACAAUUUAUUGGUAUGUCAUGCGUCCAAUGGUUGUCGUGAGUUUCAACCUAAGUUGUCCACUUGAGUUCUCGAUCUUUCAAAAUCCACUCUUAGUCAAGUAGCGUAGAGAGAAACCAAAUCCCUAAUUUAGCGCAUUUUAACUAAGUUGACCCAACAGCCAAAGCGUGUUGGGCCCAUUAGGAGUCCACCUUGUGUCUAUUUGGCCCAUUGGUCAAUAAAAAGACAAUCAUACUUAUCUGUUUAAAUUUGAAUGAUGUAUACGUCAUUUGGCAAACCAUUAUCUCUUGGGUUAGGGAGUUAGAAUAUAGCUUUAAUCUAAUUGAAGAAGGAGCAAGUUAUCAUUACAAACAAAAGCGUGGACAUCCGGAGAUGACAAAAAAUCAAGAACAAAGGACCUUCCAUGGAAGCUUAGUUUAGGAUUGUACCUCUGCGCGAGACUGGUUAUUUUGUAUCCUUUUUUCCCUAUUAUGUAUCCCCAUUCAUUUUAUUCGUAAAACUUGUAUAAAUUUGGGUUUUGGGGCAAUGGAAUGUUUCAAAUGACGUUAUACAUUCAUCGAAUCAUUAGGCCUACCCUUGGCAUAAAAGGGUCACAUAUUUGUUUAGAGCGCGCAAUAUCUGUUUAUGUGUUAUAACUGCUUGUGUGAAUAUGUUGCUUUAUUUGAAGAUGUUCUAGCCUACUCAUUCUCGGGAAAAAUAUAUUUUGUAGAACCACUUAAGCACAAAUAUUAAGUCACUAUCGAAAGUACGUCCAAAUACUCUUCGAGUCUUUAGUUUCUCAACAAAAUUCGAACUUUAUUUUUCACAUCUUACUUUCUCAUCUCAGAAAAAAAAAGAA